UGCUUUGUUCUUGUGGCUUCUGGAGUCUUCUAGAUGGUAGAAAAUCACGCGGUGCGUUGAUAUCUCUAUGUAAUCCCGACAUGUGGGCCUUUCUUUCUUAUUUCCUGAUAACCCCCUGCAGAAACAGAUAAACAACAAAACUCGUGGAAUUCUGUCAGAUCAAACCCUAAUUCUAGGUGUUGGUUGCAUAUUGGUCCUUUCUCUUGUUUAUCUGAUAAUUAAAAUUGAUACUUAAGAACCGUCAACACCUUGUAAGCCCCAGCAGACUUCGUGGUGAUAGAGACUGGUACUGAUGAGAGGGCACCCAUCAUUCUAGGGAGGCCAUUCCUGAACACCUCGGGAGCUAUCAUCUAUGCUAGUGGUGCUAAGAUUAGUUUCUACAUCAAGGGUAGGAAGGAGACGUUUUCCUUCAAGAACAAGACUACACAAAUCUCAGAGCAAUUCCGACAUAAACCAAUAAAGAGGACCAACAGAAGGAACAGGAACAAGCAAAUGUGGACCGAGUCAGCUAAGAUGGUCACUGCAGUUCGAGGAGUCAGCUAAGAUGGUCACUUCCAGAAGAUGCUUUGCAACACCGGAUGGCAGAUCAAACAUUCCAAAAGAUUGAAGGUUAUUCACAUGGGAGAAGACGAGUACGAUCCACCCAUCAUCCUUGGGAGACAGUUCCAGAGCACCGUUAAAAUAAUCAUCUACAUUGGAACCGAAGAAGUCCACAUGAACUUCCCCUCUGAGAAGGUACACCGCUAUUUUACUAACCCUAACUAUAUAGUUGAAGACUCUAAGCAGGUCAAGACAAGAAGAAGACGACGCAACCGCAACCAGAGGAGGCAAAUUAUCAAGGACGGGGCAGACCAUGAAGGAGAAGUAGUAAGGUCUGAAGACAUACAGCUUGAACAGAACUGUCCUGAGGAGACCGUAGUACCGAGUCAGGUGUGGAGAGAGAAUAUAGUUAUACACGAAGAGGAGGCACCGCCGGAACCACCGACUACGCCAUCCAGCGAAUCCCAGGACGAAUGAGAAAACGGAGAGUCCCGUUCGGAGGACGUGAAAACACCGAACGCCUUGCCAAGAGGUAAACUUGGUAGUUAUCUUUUUCCUUUCAAUUAUUUUAAAUAGUUUGCUUAGUUAAUCAGGUUCAUAUCAUCUUGAAAAGAAAAUAAAAAUGUUAAAAAUAGUAAGCCCCAUGUGAGUAUGCUCAUGGCAUAAGACCCAUAAGUACAUUCACUGUGGUGGCAUAAAAAUAAAAUAAAUAUAUUCCUAUCCUAUAAAAAUAAAAUUAUAAAAAUAAAUUUAUGAUCCUACUAAAGAGAGUAACAUUUAUUGAGGAGACUCAACAUGAUAAAGGCUAGAUAUUUAUGCUAACACUUAACUAGUUCCACAAAGCUUUGUUGUCUAUUUGAGCUCCACAGAAUUCAAGGAUCAAAGAAGACUAGCAGAUGGAGGACAUCCUAAUCGCUGUCAGGGUGCUGCCGACAUUCAAAUACACCUCCGCCACCUACUACAUCAGAAGAAAUUACGUCAAAAUCCAACUUGGGGGAGAGCACCCCCAUUUAUCCAGCUAAGUGUUUCUACUCGCGUUUAUACUUUACUCUAAUAAUAAAAAGAUGCAUAAUCAUAAAAACCCAAAUAAAAAUUUUGUGCUUAUAUAUAUAUCUUUGCUUAGUUUGCUAAAUAAAUAAAUAAAUAAAAUUUGCUAUGAACCCUCAUGAUAAGCUCUCACAUGGAAAUGAUGAAUAUUUGCUCUGCCAUGUCUAAAUUCUCAAAAUUGAAAUCUCUCUCAAGUUUAGGCAUGACUGUUAUUAAUUAAGAUUUGCUCUAAACCUGAACUUGUGCGAAGAGUACUUGAUCUAAAGUCUAAGUCGUUAACGGAUACGAUAUGGGAAGGUUGGGCUGUUGUUUAUCUAUUCCUAGAGAUGCUAGAAUUGUGGAGAAUUUUAUCUUUGAAAAUCUUUAAAAUGUUGCAUGAUGAGUUCCUGUAUGAUGAGAGUUUAAAUUCCUACCAUAGCUAUAUAUACAUGCUUGUUAGACUUUGAGCCACACAUUUACUAUUUACUGCUUAUGAGCAUUGAGUGUGGUCAAGCUGUGUAGACCCUUAGGAGCUUGUCAUGUGGUUAAAUCAAGAUUCACUUGCACGAUUCACUCAUGCAUGCUGCUUCUACUCUGGAAGUACGCAUCCACAUAUAUCCACCCAUUUCCAUCUCUAGAACCACCCAAAAAUAUUCUACUCCUAAUCCGGGAGAGAAUAGCCAAAAACAUUCUUAUAUUCCUGUUUUCCCCUGUGAAAUAAAUGCUCAAGUUAUUUCGGUUACUACCACUUGCUACAUUAUUUCAAGAGAUGAGUGCUCUAAAAAAAGAGAAAGAAAGAAUACGAGGAAAUAAAAAGGGGGCAAGUGCCCGGAACCUCGAAAGAAAAGAAAAAGUGAGACGAGAGGUAAAAAUGGACAAGUGUCCGACAAUAGAAUUAGGGGUACAAGAUACCCACCUGAGAGAAAAGAAAAAGAAAAUACAGAGCAUCUCAUUCUCCCCAAAAGUUUCAAAAGAGCAAGGAAGGUAUGUAUCCCCUCAAAAGAGCAAAAGUAGAAUUAGACUUUCACCAUUGUUUUCACCAUUAUCACCAUCAUCACCAUACACCAUUCAUUCGCCACACAUGCACAUCUUGAUUUGACUUAUUGACUUGUUCUUCUGGAUCCAUGGUUUUACUAUGCAAUAAAUGUCUUGUAAGUAUGUAUUAGCUGUCUCCCACCUAUGAGCUCCAGAUAUUAAAACCUUAUUAGAGUAGGGUGAGAGAGAAGGCAAUGCCACUAUGCCUCAUACCAAAAAUACCACAUACUUUGAGAGAAGGCAUAUACCAUUACUGCCUCGGUAAGGAUCCAGAAAUACCACAAAAGAGAGACUAGAGAGAGUCAUACAAGGAAUCUCUGAGUUUUAUUUGAAAAUCUGCAAAAACUCCAGAGCUAUAGUUAAUCGAAGAACAAGAGACAUGGCGCUUGACUAGACCGUUCUAUCUUUUAACUGCUCAAGACACAAGUGACAGUUGCAAGCCCCAUGGUGGAAGGUAAAAUGAGUAAGUUUAAAUCUUAACAGUUUACCCUAACCCAGAGAUGAGAUCUUGUUUAAACGCAUGUGUACCUUUAAGGCAUGAAACCAUUGUAGAAACUCUUGAGUUCAUCUUUUCUUAGGGACGAGCAAAGGUUAAGCUUGGGGGAGCUUGUUGUCGAGGGUAUCGGUAAGGGGUACCCUCAGCGAUGCGCAUUAUGAGAUUGCCCGUACGAAGGUCGAGACCCUUAAUUCGACGCUCUAAUCUUACGUAUGCGCCGCCAUCGACGGUCGCAGCCUCGAAGACGGAAAUAGCGUCGAGCGAAUCGGUCAGGGCUCGAGCGACGACUACCGUCGAAAACGGAAGCGGGCUCGAGCGAACCGAGAGGCGUCGGGCCCAAGGACACUGUCCGCCGCCCGACGCGCGCACGCGGGCCGGAGCAUUAAAUGCACCUGACGCUUCCCCACCUAACACACAGGUCACGGAAGGCGUGAUAGGGAACAAGCUUCUGUCCCAUCGUUCUUUUUGCAGCCUUCCCACCGAACGACCCAGGGCGUGUCAGGACGCAGGAAACAAGGAUGGAACGUCUAAUCGGGACCCCCUCGAGACACCCAAGGUCAGCGCUCCAGAUACCAGCAUAUUACACGGCGUCCGACCCUCGACCGAACAGGGUCCCUUCCUAGGGACAAGUUGGGCGUCGACUGACAACACCACAGCUACCCCGCCGGGUCCGCCACCAUACCGUACGAGCAUGUGACCUCAGAACCAGCACAAGGCGGCUGGCAGGGCAAAACACAGGAGCACGCGUAAUCAUCACCGGGCUAUCAAGAUGGGACGGCUCGAGGCCAUGCCGUACGGAAGCCUCGAGUAGGUCAGCGUUCCAUGCGGCUAUCGAUCCCUACUCUAACAUCUACGCAUGUACCCUGUGUCUCUCCUUGGAGCUAUAAAAGGAGAGACUCAGGAAUAGAAGAGGGGGACAUCACAACACAAGACACACACACACUCACAUAGUAGAGCUACACACUUCAUACCACGCUUGUAUUCGCCCCUGUACAAGCACUUAGGUGCAAGAUAAUACAAACUCUCUCCCCCCCGCUGGACGUAGGGCCUUCUCUUGCCCGAACCAGGAUAAAUCUCUGUGUCUUCUUGCAUCACCAUCCGGAAAGGGGAGCACGCAUACAAAUUUACUCGUUGGUGUGACCCCCCGGGGGAAAAACACCGACAGUUGGCGCGCCAGGUAGGGGUCAUGCGUGUUUUUAUCGAUUUCCCACUACUUUCCGGAUGGCUACUCUUGCCUCGCCGCUUCCGCGCUCCACGGUGAUUUGGUUUGGGAGUCUCGAGUUCAUGUCUACGGGCUCCGGCUACGACAUGAUCUUGCUCUCAGUCAAAGGACCAGGAGGAGUCCGCGUUACGCCAGCACGGUUGAAGGCCCCGAGACGCCCUCACCACCACGCCUCCACGCCUAAGAAGAGGCGCGAGCAACACCACCGCGGCCCUUCUGCUUCAGCACGACCAACAACUCGUGCGAGGCAGGAUGUGGGCCACAAGUCGGCAGCACCAUGUGACGGAGCAACAAGUGCGACGACUCAGCACCGCGCGACGACGGGAGGGGACGCGUCUCGCGCCCUCUCCCCCACCGCAGCUAGGCUACUUCCACACGGGUUGUUCUCUCCAAGGGCGGCACUGCCGUUCGGAAUGGACUACGCCGCGGCGUCGCUCGCCAGGGCGAUAUGCCCAAACGCCCAGACGUACGUGGAAAGACCCAUGGUCCUCCCACAUAGCUCUGAAGCACGGCGGCCGGCGUCCGAGCUGCCGGACCUUUCCCGAGUACGAGGCCUCCGUCGUCUAGGCCCCGGACGAUACUCGAUCACCUCCCUCAGGCAACGAUUGCUGGAGGAAGGACGUGGGUGUUUCUACGCCGCUGAUCCGGACUCCGACUCCGAGACAGACAGCUAUGACCCUACGAGGGAAUGUUAUCACAUCGACGGGGCGGUAGAAACUUCUGAUGAGACACGGGAUGCUGCUGCGGGUGGUCGAGCCCCCGCGGCGCGAGAAGACCCCAGGACGCCUGGGAACGACGGACAAGUCGACCCCCCGCCUCAGGAAGACAGAACCGCGCAGCUCGCGCAGCUGCGGGAGCUCAAAAUGAAGCUCGACGAAGACCGCGAGCGCCUCGUCCUGCUCGAACAAAUCCUCGAACAAGACCUGCCCUACCCGCCGGGUGGAAGUGUCCGCAGACGCGCUCGAGAGGUACAUCGACAAAUCGUCGGUGACGCAGAGGCGGAGCAACCUGUUAGCCGUUUCCCUCGAGCAGGCCAGAACGUAGUGGCAGCGACGAUGCUGCUACGUAACAUGCCAGAGCGAUCGAAUUCCAAGGCCCGACGCAUUCGAGAUGAAGUACAGACAUUGCUCCAGGUGGCAGCGGUUCAACAAGCCGAAAGUUCGGCGUCUCGACGGCGAGGAGCUGCCACAGAGAAGCGCGACGAACAGCCUCUAAACGAAGAGGAGGUGUCAGUCCAUCAACAACCUCCCCCUCGAGGUAGAAAGACCGCUCUCAUCCUCCCUGCCGACAAUCAACGUCGACACGACGCGCGGCACGACGUCAAAGAAAAUAGACGCCGCCGGCACGGAGACGCGGAAGAACGUGGUUAUAGCGCGCAUCGCGGUGGGAGAUACGACAGCGACGAGGACCGGGUGGCCCCCGAGCCACCGGGCCCACGGGUGUUCAGCAGGGCGAUUCGCAGCACGCCCCUGCCCAAUCCAUUUCGACCCCCAACCAGCGUCGCGAAGUACAAUGGAGAGACCAAGCCAGAGCUAUGGCUGGCCGAUUUCAGGCUGGCCUGUCAGCUAGGUGGCGCUCGAGGUGAUGAUCGAGCCAUCAUCAGACAGCUACCCCUUUUCCUCUCCGACACCGCCCGUCGAUGGCUCGAGGAACUCCCUGCCAAUCAGAUCCACAACUGGGUUGAUCUGGUCAGAGUCUUCGAGGGUAACUUCAAAGGGACCUACAUACGGCCUGGGAACUCGUGGGACCUCAGCAAAUGCAAGCAGAAGUCAGGAGAAACUCUUCGGGAGUAUGCUCGACGCUUCUCGAAGCAGCGCACUGAGUUGCCGCACAUCCCUGACCACGACGUCAUCUUGGCGUUUGUCUCGGGCACCACCAGUCGAGACUUGGUGCGGGAAUUAGGUCGCAAUCGACCUCAGACCGUCGACGAGCUGAUGGACGUAGUAGCUAACUACGCGGCAGGGGAGGAGGCAGUCGGCGCCUUCUUCAGCUCAGAAGGAAGAAAAGGCAAGCAGCCCGUCGAUGAAGAUGGGACUUCCAGUCGAGGCCUCAAGAAAAAUAAAAAGAAGCAGAAAGUGCGGCAGUUCCACCAGGAAGAUUCAGGUGACAACCUCGUCGCCGCCAUGGAUCGAAAGAAGCCGCGAGGCCCUCCGGAGGGAGGCAUCUUCGACAAGAUGUUGGAGGAGCCGUGCCCUUACCAUAAGGGGGGCGCCAACCACAAACUCAAGGACUGUCGUAUGUUGAGAAAGCAUUUCGACGGUCAGGGGUUCAAAAAAGAUACGCGUGAUGACUCCAAGAAGGAGAAGGCUGGCGGCAAGGAGGACAACAAAGAUGACGACGGCUUCCCCGCCGUCCACGACUGCUACAUGAUCUAUGGCGGGCCCUCGACUCAGUUGACCACGAGGCAGCGCAAAAGGGAGCGUCGCGAAGUCUUUGCAGCAAGAAUGGCGGUGCCCCAAUACCUUAGCUGGUCGAGCACUCCCAUCACUUUCGACCGAGAAGACCACCCUGACAAGGUAGUCGCCCCAGGCGUCUACCCGCUCGUCGUCGACCCCAUCAUCGUCAACACCCGACUCUCGAAAGUGCUGAUGGAUGGUGGCAGCAGCCUCAACAUCAUCUACCUCGAGACCCUCGAUCUCCUCGGCAUCGAUAGAGGACGCCUCCAGCCAAGCGCCGGCGGUUUCCAUGGCGUCGUGCUAGGGAAAAAGGCACUGCCAGUAGGUCGAAUCGACCUGCCGGUCUGCUUCAGCACGGCGGCCAACUUCAGGAAGGAGACCCUCACCUUUGAGGUGGUGGGGUUCCGAGGCACGUACCACGCCAUCAUCGGGCGCCCGGGCUACGCCAAGUUCAUGGCCAUACCCAACUACACAUACUUGAAGCUGAAGAUGCCUGGUCCCAAAGGCGUCAUCACUGUCAGUUCCUCCUUCGAGCACGCGUACGAGUGCGACGUCGAGUGCGUCGAGUACGGGGAGGCGGUCGAGAGCUCCACCGAGCUCGUUGCAAAGCUUGAGGCCAUGGCCGCUGAGGCCCCAGAGCCUAAGCGUCAUGCGGGUAGCUUCGAGGCGGCGGAAGGAACCAAGAAGAUCCCGCUCGACCCCAACAACUCCGACGGCAAGGUGCUGACGAUCAGCACCGACCUCGACCCUAAAUAGGAAGCCGUGCACGUCGACUUUCUCCGUGCAAAUGCUGAUAUGUUUGCAUGGAGUCCCUCGGACAUGCCAGGCAUACCGAGGGAAGUCGCCGAGCACUCCUUGGAGAUUCGAGCCGGUUCCAAGCCAGUGAAGCAGCGGUUGCGCCGAUUCGACGAGGAAAAGCGCAAGAUCAUUGGCGAGGAAGUUCACAAGCUUUUGACGGCCGGAUUCAUCAAGGAGGUUCAUCAUCCUGACUGGUUAGCGAACCCUGUAUUAGUUAAGAAAAAGAAUGGGAAAAUGAGGAUGUGUGUCGAUUAUACUAGUUUGGAUAAAGCAUGUCCAAAAGUUCCCUUUCCAUUGCCACGCAUUGAUCAGAUUGUCGAUUCCACCGCGGGAUGUGAAACCCUUUCUUUCCUUGAUGCAUAUUCCGGUUACCAUCAAAUAAAAAUGAAGGAGUCCGACCAGCUCGCGACCUCUUUCAUCACGCCUUUUGGGAUGUAUUGCUACGUGACCAUGCCAUUCGGGCUUCGAAACGCCGGAGCCACGUAUCAACGUUGCAUGCUCCACGUAUUUGGCGAACAUGUAGGAUCAACGGUCGAGGCCUACGUCGACGACAUUGUCGUCAAGUCAAAGCGACGAGGAGACCUGAUCCGGGACCUCGAGGUUGCCUUCAGCUGCCUACGCACCAGCCGGAUCAAGCUCAAUCCCGAGAAGUGCGUUUUCGGCGUGCCUCGAGGCAUGCUCCUAGGAUAUAUCGUUUCGCAGCGCGGUAUCGAGGCCAACCCCGAGAAAGUCUCGGCCAUCACGAAAAUGGGGCCAAUCCGAGACAUCAAGGGUGUGCAGAGAGUCACGGGGUGCCUGGCGGCUCUGAGCCGUUUCAUCUCGAGACUAGGAGAAAAGGCAUUACCGUUAUAUCGACUCCUAAAGAAGGUCGAGCGCUUUUCUUGGACCCCCGAGGCCGAGGAAGCACUCGAAAAGCUGAAAAAGACGCUGACCUCGGCGCCAGUCCUGGUUGCACCUCAACCUGCGGAGCCGCUGCUCCUCUACGUCGCGUCGACGACCCAGGUCGUCAGCGCGGCGGUGGUGGUCGAAAGACAAGAGGAGGGUCACGCGCUGCCGGUCCAAAGGCCAGUCUAUUUCGUCAGCGAGGUGCUUUCGGAGACCAAGGCGCGUUACCCCCAAAUCCAGAAACUGAUCUACGCCGUAAUCCUUGCCCGCCGCAAAUUGCAGCAUUACUUCCUUGGUCAUCCUAUCACGGUGGUCUCUUCUUUCCCCUUGGGCGAGAUAAUCCAGAGCAAGGAGGCCACGGGAAGGAUAGCUAAGUGGUCGGUCGAGCUCAUGAGCGAGACUCUCACUUACGCACCUCGAAAGGCCAUCAAAUCGCAAGCCCUGGUAGACUUCGUCGCGGAAUGGACAGACUCCCAGCUUCCCCCGACUCAGGUCCAGGCGGAGCUGUGGACAAUGUAUUUCGACGGGUCACUCAUGAAAACUGGGGCCGGGGCCGGCCUGCUGUUCAUCUCACCCUUGGGCGUCCACAUGAGGUAUGUAAUCAGGAUUCAUUUUGCCGCAUCUAACAAUGUCGCAGAAUAUGAGGCCCUCGUCAAUGGUCUUAAGAUCGCUAUCGAGUUAGGAGUCCGACGCCUCGACGUCCGAGGUGACUCCCAACUCGUCAUCGACCAGGUAAUGAAAACCUCGAGUUGCCAUGACCCAAAAAUGGAAGCAUACUGCAAGGAGGUGCGUCGACUCGAAGACAGGUUCCACGGCCUCGAGCUUGCCCAUGUCGCUCGACGCUACAACGAGGCAGCCGACGAACUCGCCAAAAUCGCAUCUACCAGAGGCACAGUGCCGCCUGAUGCAUUCUCAAAGGAUCUUCACGAGCCAUCCGUCGACCUAGGCACGGGGGCUGGCGUCGACACCACCAUCGCCCAACCAACCAAUGCUGUCGAUGCGCUCUUGAUGGAGGAAGAGGUGAUGGAAAUAGAACGACGACCGGUUCGACCAUUCGAUUGGCGCACACCGUUCCUCGACUGCCUUAUCCGCGGUGAGUUGCCAGAAGACAAGACAGAAGCUCGUCGUAUCGCUCGACGGGCCAAAUCAUAUGUGAUCUAUGGCGAAGACAACGAGCUAUAUCGACGGAGCCCGACGGGGGUCUUACAACGUUGCAUCACCGUAGAGGAAGGCCGAAAACUCCUCGAUGACCUGCACUCGGGGGCUUGUGGCCACCACGCCGCCCCACGGACCCUUGUAGGAAACGCUUUUCGGCAAGGCUUUUACUGGCCAACGGCCGUGGCGGAUGCCAUCGAGCUCGUACGCUCGUGUCAUGGGUGCCAAUUCUACGCCAAACAGACGCAUCUGCCCGCCCACGCUCUUCAGAUGAUCCCCAUCACCUGGCCGUUUGCGGUAUGGGGGCUCGAUUUAGUAGGACCUCUACAAAAGGCGAAAGGAGGGUAUACCCAUUUGCUGGUGGCCAUCGAUAAGUUCUCCAAAUGGAUCGAGGCUCGACCCAUCACCAACAUCCGCUCCGAGCAGGCCGUCCUUUUCUUCUCCGACAUCAUCCAUCGGUUUGGGAUCCCCAAUGUCAUCAUCACCGACAACGGCACCCAGUUCACCGGCAGAAAGUUCUUGGAUUUCUGCGAUCAGCAUCACAUCCGUGUGAACUGGUCCGCAGUAGCCCACCCUCGAACUAACGGCCAGGUCGAGCGUGCCAACGGCAUGAUUUUGCAAGGACUCAAGCCGAGGAUCUACAAUCGAUUGAAGAAAUUCGGCAAGAAAUGGGUCGAGGAGCUUUCCUCAGUCCUAUGGAGCCUUAGGACAACGCCAAGCAGGGCCACAAAAUACACCCCGUUCUUCAUGGUCUACGGCUCUGAAGCUAUCCUCCCCACAGACCUCGAGUAUGGGUCACCACGACUCAAGGCUUACAACGAGCAAUCGAACAAAGAGACUCAGGAAAACGCGGUCGACCAACUCGAGGAGGCUCGAGACAUGGCCCUCCUCAACUCUGCUAGAUAUCAGCAGAGACUCCGACGCUACCACGACAAGCACGUGCGCAAGAGGGACCUCAAUGUAGGCGACCUUGUCUUACGACGCCGGCAAAGCAACCAAGGACGCCACAAGCUGACCCCACCUUGGGAAGGCCCGUAUGUGGUGGCCGAGGUCCUUAAGCCAGGAACGUACAAAUUGGCGGACGAAAAGGGGGCAGCCUUCACCAACGCAUGGAACAUCUAACAGCUACAUCGAUUCUACCCCUAGAAGUCCUAGACUUACGAUCCUACUUUUUGUACGAAGACCUUGUAAAUGAACGCAUGAAUAAAUAAAGUCUUUCCCUCGAGCAGCUCGGGGGCCAAAAAUAGUUACGAGUUAUAGUCUCGACGUCAAAAGGGGAUGCCGACCAUGACCCAUCAUAGUCCGCACCCCCUCGGGGGCUACCAGAGGGACGACCCCUCCCCAAGCGUCGAAAAAGCCAAGAAAUUUUUCUUUUCUUGCUUGGUAAACCUUGCACGGUUCGAGUAGCUAAGGCACCUCGAGCCCCUCAAAGGCCGAGGGAUAAUGAGCCGGAAAACUCCCACGCCCCUGGGCUACGGAAACCGAGGUCGCUUCUGACGAAAGGUCGAGCAAGGGAUACAAACGUAGGAAUAAAGAGAAACAAAGGAACCUCGAGCGGAAAGACAAAUAAGCAGUUAACAAUUACGAAAAGAUACUAUAUCACGUAACAGCAAAAUUAAUAAAGUAUCGUACAAGGGGCCUCAGGCGCCCUGAGCAGGCUCGCAGGCCUCAGUCAACGGCACGACCCUCACCGCCCUCGCCUCCGCCCGAGCUAGCCUCAGGAGGGAGCACCUCAGGCUCGAAGAGCUUGGCCAACCUUUCCCUAGGAGCCUCCGCGUCGUCGAUCAAGGCAUGGAGCCUCUCCUCGUUCUCCGCGUCGGUCUUGGAAAUGUCGGUGACGAAGCCAUGGGACACCACCUCCAUGUCGUAGGAGAAGCCCGAGCAGACAACCGCCAUCGCCCGCUUCACCCCGAUGUGGAGGGCAUCCCGCACCCGAUCUCGCAGCGUUGCGCCUAUGUAGCACAACUGGUCGAUCAGGGCGUCGCCUCGAGUGUCCUCCCUCGACUCAUCCAUAGGCUCGACCUCCCAAGAGGUCGAGAGAUCGCUUAUCGCCGUCCGCACUUGACGGUUCAAAGCAACCUCAGCCUCGAGCUGAGCCUUGGCGUUGCGAGCCUCGGCUUGGGCGGCCAGGAGUUCGUCCUUGAGCCCUAUAAAUGCCAAUACAAAGAAGCUUUAGGAAAAACUCAAGCACACCUCGAAAAGGAAAUUCGACAAAGGAAACAUACCUUUGAUGCUCUCCUCUAGGGCCGUGUUCUCGCCGACCAAUCUGGUGUUGGCACGCUCGAUCUCUCUGUUGGAGCGCGCCAGCUCAGUAUUGGCGACGCGGAGAUCUUCGAUCACCCUGCCAGCCUGAGCGACGGCUCCACUCUUCUCCAGCAAUUCUCCCUUCAGACGCUCGACGUCGUCAGAGAGACUGCGGGAUCGAGCUCGCUCCAUCUCGAGGUCUUCGAGGGCUUUCUUCUUUGCGUCCUCGGCGGCACCCCUGGCGACCUCAUUGUCCACGAACGCCACUUUCAUCUUUUGGAAGGUAUCGCGGAGGGAGUCCAGGUCGGUUUGGAGAAGGCCCUUCUCCUUGUCCAGGUCCGCGAUGACGCUCUUGUAGGACAGGGCCUCCUCCAGGGCUCUGGACGCGGCCUCCUCGACCGUGAGAGCCCGCUCCCGUAGCUGCAUCGCCUCCUCCUCCGCCUUCUUCGAGACCUCUCGGGCCUCGGCCAAAGCAGCCUCCCUCACCUUCUUCUCCUCCUCGAGCGCUAUGAGAUCUUUGUAAGCUUUAAGCAGCUUUUCCUGCGACUCGAGGAGUUGAUCCUUGAGGAGGGGAAGCUGCUCCCAUCCGCCCCUCGUGGCAUGUAUGAAGCUGGACUUGAUGCGAGAGGUCUCUUUCAUAUCCUGCGAAUCAGGGGUCAGAGGGAUUAGAACACAGAAACCAGAAAGCACCACAAAGAUUGGAGCUCGAGAAACACUUACAAAAUAAGCUGGCCCAAGCCCGUUGUUGAUGACGUCCGAUAGGAGCCCCACCACGUGUUUCAUCCAAAGGCGGAGCUCCUCGACAUGCUCCCACUUCUCGACCUCCUUCUUGUCGUCGAGGAAGAUAUUGGGCUCGGACGGGUCGCUGGAAGCUCGGAUACGAAUCCGAUCGGGACACCAGUUCUCCAUCUCCCGAUCAGCCCGCACCUUGACGCCGCGGAUAAAGUUCUCGACGGUCUCGAGGGAACCCCCGUGGCGCAAGAACAGGUCGGCGAGGCAAGGGAACCGCCCGUCGUCGUCCACCGUCUUCCACGUACCGUCCUUGCUCCCAGACGACCCGAUCUCAUCCUCCUCAGAGGGAAAGCGGUCCUCCCAUGCUCGACGCUCCCGGAGGAACCCUGGGGCGAUCCCGUCCAUGCCGUAGAUUGUCCUCUUGAUCCCGGACUCGGGGUCGGUGGGGGUGCGCAUCAUGCAGGCGAGCGCCACCACUCCGUCCGCUCGCCCCGACUCUGCCCGGAUCGCGGCAGGCGCCCCCGGGAGGAGCCACGCUGGGGUGGGAGGUCCGUACACCGGCAAAUUUCCCUCUUGAUCGCCGGGCUCUUGCGACGCCAGUGGCGCCGUUUCGGCCAAAACUUGAGGCGGGGGCUCGAGUGGCUCGUCCUCUUGGCCCCCCAGCUGCUGUUGCUGCCCCAGCUGCUGCUGCUGCUCCUCCUGCUGAUGCUGCAGCUGCUCCUCCGGCUGGGGUCGCUGCUGCUGCUGCUUCAGUGACGGCUGCGUCGCCUCGCGCUCCCGCUCCUCCUCCUCCACCAUCUUCCUUUGCGCCUCGAGAGCUCGAAGGCCUGCAGGCCAGGGAGUCCGUCCCGCGACGUUGGGGGUCGAUGCUUCUUCCUCCAUAGGUCGAGCGCCCCCAGACGCUUCGUUGCCAUCAGACGUAUCGCUGAUGGUGAUGGGUUCCCCCUCGACCCCCAAUCGAGAGGGCUCGGGGGCUCCCUCUGACGCUCGCGUCUGGGGGGCCGCAUCAUGAGUCGGCGGCGGCGGAGUAGGCGCGGGACGAGAUAAAGCCCUCUCGACGCCGGCUGGAGGUUGGGUGCUGGAUGAGCCUACAAAACAAAGGGUAAGGGUCAGACGUUAUGAUAACAAACGCAAGAAUAUCGCGACGCCCGGGAAUUAACUACGAACCUGGUUCCGUGGAGGCGGCACCCGUUCUGAGCCUCUUGGCCAUAGACGGUUGGGCCUGCUCAAGAGUCCGCUUCAGCCUGAGAAAAGGUCGGCAUAUGAGGAAAGGUGGAAGAAUGGGAAGACAAAAACCGCAACAUCAAAAAAGGCUUACCCCACGGGGAGAACGGCUCGCCUUCCGCCACCCCGACCAGCGGGCCUCGAGCCACCCAGCGUCGGGGCUCCGGGCCCCUCGAGGGCACGAACCAGCUUAGGCACGUCGGUUCCCGCCUGGCGGACGCCUGGACCCGCGCUCUUACAGCCGGCAUCUCCUCUCUCAGAGGCAGCGGCGCGACCACGGGUUAGCGGCCCCGACGCCUGGGACCUAGCCGGAUCGCUCUCCCUGGGCACCGGGGGAGGGCGCGGUGCGUCUUGUCCCGCCUUGGGCGCGGGAGGGGUGUCGGCCCGGGGACGACGAGAUCCGCUCGGACCCUCCUCUGGCGCCUCUGUCCGGGGGGCGUCGGCGUCGCCUCGAGGCGGGCCCUCGAGGAUCCGAUCGAGGCGCGACGCCAUCCCCUCGGAGUCGUCGCUGUCCUCGUCGUCAUCGUCGUCAUCAUUGGGGGAUUCUUCCUCAGGCUCCCCCCUCUGCCUGGAUUUGGCUCGACGCGCCUCUAAUGCUUGGCGGUCGAGGUUCUUCUUCUUCUCCCCCUUCUUUGCGGACUCCUUGGCAGACUUCAGCUUUUCGGCGGAUUGGCGCCGUUUGUCGCGAUCGACCUUGUCCUCCUUUACCGGAGGCCUCGAGGACCGGACAUCAAUCCGACCCUGCCAAAACUAAGGUAGACUUAGAAAAAAGAGAGGGGAGAAAGGAAACCUAGAGUUGGGGAUGCGCGUAAGAAGAAAGCGUACCAGAUCGAUCGAGCCUGCGUCAGGUCUCAUGGGGAAGCCGUUGACAUGCUCCGGCUGAAAAUCACCGGCAAUUGCGGCCCUGACUCGGGCCGCGACUUCGUCGUCCGCCGGAGGCUUGUUGGACAUCCGACAUGCCUCGAGGUCCCGAGAUGAGACGCCAGGGCCCAUCUCGUCCAUCCUCAACGGUCGUGACAUCAGAGGGAGAACUCUCCGAUGAUGGACGGCCGAGAGGACGAGGGCGGCGGUCAAACCUUCCUGGCGAAGCUUCCUCAGGGCGUCGAGGAGAGGGUCGAGCCGAGACUGAUGAGCUUGGACGACGCCGUACGUCCAGUCCGCUGGACGCUCCAAGUAGGAAGGCAGGAGGUUGUCGUCGUUCCGCAGGUAGAACCAUUGGGAGUCCCAGCCGGCGUGGUUGGUCGACAACCCUACCGGGAUGUACUCCCGCGGCCGGUCCGUCUUCCCCGUCUUCUGCACCAGAUUGAGGCAACCCGCCCGCACGGGCUUCCUUACGCCCAUGGUUCCGGUGGAGGCGUGAAACAGCUCGCCCCUGUAGAGGUGGAGCCACAGCUCCCAGUGCGGCAUCAUCCCCAGGAAGCCCUCACACACGGCGGCGAAGACCGCCGCUACGGUGAUGGCGUUCGGAGAGAAGUGCUGGAGCUCCACCCCAUAAUGGAAGCAGAGGGCUCGCAUGAAACGGCUUGGAGGCGCGCCCAGACCGUGGCGGUGAAACUUGGCGAACGACACCACGUAGCCCUCGGGCGGCUGAGGCGCCCUGUGACUCGCCGGCGGCGCGAUCCACUCUGGCGACGACAGCGAGGUGCGGCGGCGCAGCAGUCCCUCCUUCUCAAGCUCUAACAGCCGGCGCUCCGUCAUCGACGACGGGCGCCAGUCGUCGGCGGCGACGAGUCUUACAGGCAUCUCGGCUAAAGGGGCGGUGGGUUCGCUACAGCUCGAGGGGGCGUGUGCGCGUGAGAUGGCGAGAAAGCAAAGGCAGCGAAGGAACAAGAGCGAGAAGGCGGAAGGGAGAGGAAUGGCGGUGACGCGACGACGUAUUUAUAGGCAGCUGUCCGCCAACGGACAGAUCCGAGAAGUAAGGUAACUCCCCCCACAAAUGCGCCGCCUGACAGUCCUCUCUCUCUCCUCACAGGCCGGACUCUCCGAAUUCCUCGCCGAUACGGUGUCGUAACGUCAUCCGCCUAAAAAGGCGCACCCAACGGGCAGAAAGGCGAACCGCCACGGCCGUUUCCUUCCCUCGUAAGCCAAGGGACGUAACCACAAAAGUCUCGAGAGGUCGAUGGCUGGCCCGCCAAAAGGGUUCGACAGCCGAUCUCGAGCGCCAGAGUCAGGGAUCCCCAGCGAGCGGUCGAAGAUCGAGGCCCGCCUCGAGGACUCGCUGGCGAUGUUCAAGGUAGGGUCGAGACAGUCGAGAGGAAUCCCCCCGACGGGAGGCAUCGAGCCUCCGGUCUCUAUCGAAUGAGACUGGUAUCCCCGACCACGUCGACCCUGCUUUAUGAGGACACCUCCGGGCUACAGCUGACCCCCUCGAAAGGGGCACAGGUUCUCACUUGGACUACCUGCUAGGAACUCAAUUUGGGAUGGAAGACGCUCGCUCUAUCGAGAGUACGUCGAAACCCCCGGGCAAAAACGAGCCAAUCGGAAUCUUCCACCACUGGUGUCGAAAGCGUUUCUGCGAAUUAGAUAACAUAGCCCUCGAAGGAGUCAAAAACUCCUCCGAGGGCUCGGGGGCUACUGUCGAGGGUAUCGGUAAGGGGUACCCUCAGCGAUGCGCAUUAUGAGAUUGCCCGUACGAAGGUCGAGACCCUUAAUUCGACGCUCUAAUCUUACGUAUGCGCCGCCAUCGACGGUCGCAGCCUCGAAGACGGAAAUAGCGUCGAGCGAAUCGGUCAGGGCUCGAGCGAUGACUGCCGUCGAAAACGGAAGCGGGCUCGAGCGAACCGAGAGGCGUCGGGCGCAAGGACACUGUCCGCCGCCCGACGCGCGCACGCGGGCCGGAGCAUUAAAUGCACCUGACGCUUCCCCACCUAACACACAGGUCACGGAAGGCGUGAUAGGGAACAAGCUUCUGUCCCAUCGUUCUUUUUGCAGCCUUCCCACCGAACGACCCAGGGCGUGUCAGGACGCAGGAAACAAGGAUGGAACGUCUAAUCGGGACCCCCUCGAGACACCCAAGGUCAGCGCUCCAGAUACCAGCAUAUUACACGGCGUCCGACCCUCGACCGAACAGGGUCCCUUCCUAGGGACAAGUUGGGCGUCGACUGACAACACCACAGCUACCCCGCCGGGUCCGCCACCAUACCGUACGAGCAUGCGACCUCAGAACCAGCACAAGGCGGCUGGCAGGGCAAAACGCAGGAGCACGCGUAAUCAUCACCGGGCUAUCAAGAUGGGACGGCUCGAGGCCAUGCCGUACGGAAGCCUCGAGUAGGUCAGCGUUCCAUGCGGCUAUCGAUCCCUACUCUAACAUCUACGCAUGUACCCUGUGUCUCUCCUUGGAGCUAUAAAAGGAGAGACUCAGGAAUAGAAGAGGGGGACAUCUGUUGACACUUCUUAACGCAACCACCGGAUAUUGGCGACGGCGCCAGAAGUGCCCUGGUAGGGUAACUCUAUUUACUAUUGGAUAAUUCCGCAAGCGCACAGAAUGUACCGCUGUAGCACUUCACCAAGGAGUAUUCCAAGGUAUCGUAAUUUAUAUUUUCCCAAGGGAAAGCGGCUAAGUGUGUUUAACAAAAAGGGGAAUGAGAUUCCUUGAGUUAUCUAGUAUCAACUAGUGAAUAAGGGUGGUAAAUAACGAAUAGGAAGGGUAGUGGUGAAUCCAAGGUCCUAUGCUAAAGGUAAAUGGUAGAGUUAGCUAGGUGGGAGGACAACGAGUGAGUAAAGGACUCCUAUGUAUCUAACUUGACUUCUGUGACUUACUUUAAUAGAUAAUUGUCUUAACUACGCUAGAGCCUUACUAACUGUGUGCGAGGGAUAGCCGAGCUGGUAAGACGCUUAGAAGGUUUUUCACCUAACCCCUUACCGAAAGCGACUAUUGGGCUUAUGGACGCCUUACCUUUUAAGAACUAGCCUGUACGUGAGGAGAACCUAAUGCCGCCCACGAUCUGUCACCUACUAGGGAGUGCGCUCCUACUUUCCGUUCAAGCCAGCGGUAAUCAAAGGUAAUCUUAAGUAUGAGCACCACGCUCACACUUAAUCCUACAACGCUAACUAGUUGCAGCUAGCUAGAGCUCCUAUACAAGAUAGGACGAUGAUGCACACACAGGAGUGGUUACAGGUCACUAACUUCACUAAGACAACUAUAUUACUAAAGUAAAUGCACAACAAGACUAAAAGACUUGCACUAAGUAAGAACUUAGUAAAGUAAAGUAAGAAUAAUAUAUUAAUAAAAGGAAAGUCUUACAAAAGUAGAAAGGUACAAGAGCUAUACCAGACUCUCCAGAAGACGACUCCGGAGACCCCGAGCUUCGCUCGACUCGACUCUAACUGCCACUCUAGACUAACUACUACUCUACUUGUAUGCUUGGAACUUGUAAUGCACUUGGCCUUGGAAUUGCACACUUGAAAUGAAGGAUGGAGGCUGCCUUUUAUAGAGGGAGAUGGAGUAGGGGUUACUCCAUCACCACGUCAUUGAUCCGCGUGACAUCUUCUCUCCACCCUUGGAUCAAACCGACCUCACAACCGCCAUUUGAUCAACGGCAGGGGCAAAUCAACAUGUGGGACAUGUGGGGAAGGUCGGUGGGAGGCCACCGACCUUGGAACCGCCUUUGAUGUGGGGUCGGGCGACCCCACUUCUGGGCCUCUGGGCCCACCAGCAGUGUCCACAGGGGUCCCUUAUGUCGACUAGGUGGCACACCUGGGUCCCACCAAAGAGGGGUCGGGCGACCCCCUCCCUGUGGGCCCAGGGUGUCACCUGUUGUCCCCUCGAUCUCCUCUUGAUGAUUCUGAUGUUGGCUUUGUCAAAUAAUGUCUUGAAUUUGUUGUUCCUGCAUAAACAAGCUAAGAGUACAAGUGGAACUAGUUAUGGAUAAAAUAUGUUCAUGUCAUGUCGUUUCCCCUUGCAACCGAGGCAUGUUGACAGUGUUUUGUAUGUGUAUUUCUAUGGUAUAUCCACCGUCAACAAGAUCCCCCAAGCUUAACCUUUGCUCAUCCCGAGCAAACAAUCAAACUUAGCCUCGGUGGAUCAGGUAUUGUUACUAUGUUCACAUUUCAAGAGUACCAUGUGUACAACAAAGUUCUUCUCUUUGCAUGAAAAAUUUAGCUAUGUAAACUUACCCCUAUUACCUUAGUCCCUUAUGGGGCUUAUGGCUUUUCCUUUGUCUUAGGUGGUUGAGAGACAGAACAGUUUGACUUGAGCACUAACUUUCUCAUUCUUAGCAAGUUUCAUAUCAGAGGUUUUGUGAUAUUUUCAAAAGAAAGCUUAAAUGUUCCUCUUAUGGUUCUCUCAUGUCACUCAAAUGGUGUAUGAUUCCUCACCAAGGCAUAUGGUAAGAGUUGCCUUCUCUAUUUCAUCCUAUUUCUAAAAGGCUUAUGUGGAGUUCAAGGUAGGGAUGAAAGGAGAUAGCAUACUUACUUUGCAUGUAUUGCGAAGUCAAAGCUCGGAUCCUUGAAGAGAAGUGUCAUACUCCCAGAUCAAGAUGUGCAAGUGUGAUAUAUGGUGGACUAGGUUGCUCCUUUAUUUGAUAGACUCUCUAUGUAUUGAGACAUGGCUAGCAUUUUUUUUCUUCUUUUUUUUUAAUAUAUAUGAGCUUUCAUGUGCUCAAUUUUCUUUUUCUGUGGACUUGCACAUGUCCAUCUUUUUAUUUCAUUUUGCCUAGCCCUUUUGAUGUCUCAUUUACCAAAUAAUGCUUAGAGAGAUGUUCUAACAUUUAGAGUAUGGAGCAACCUAUUUAGUGGAUGCGAAAUACAUGUGGUUGCGUACUUCCAGUGUAGAAGCUGCAUAUAUAUAUGUGGUGUGUACGUGAUCUUGAUCUUAGGAGUAUGAAAAGUCUCUUAACAAGGGUCAACAAGACUUGACGACACUCAACACAAAGCAAAUAGCUUAUGUGGAAAGGUUGCAAUUAUGUAAAGUAGAUAUGGCUGUGGUAGGAAUUCAUCACCAUUGAGGAACAAUUAAGGUUUUGAUCAUUUUAAGAAUAAAUCUCUGAUAAUUAUGCAUGCUUAGAAAAAUAUUAUAGUAGCUCUUGUCUUACUAUCUCAUGUCCCACAACAACUUAGACUUAGUUCUAGCACUUGCAACCCACAAAGUUUUUAGGUUCAUGACAGUUUAAGUGAGCUAAGUGAUCCAUACUUAGAGAAAUACUAAGUUGUAUACUAGGCACUAGAGAAACAUUAACAAGCAACUAGUCAUAAUUUCCAUGAGGGAUAUAAACAUACAUGAAGCAUAUAUGCUAAAGGGAAAUGCUAAUAAAUAUUUAUUUUUUUUUAAGUAAGAAUGAUAAAAUGUAUGAAAAUAAAUAGGAUACAAUACUUACCUUAGUGGGGGAGAGGAUCUCCCCCAAGCUAGAUCUUCGCUCACUGUGGUGGCGGGAAAUUCUGGUACCAUCCGGCCCAGCGUUGUGCGUCUUCCUCUCGCACACGUCGGAUAUGUUGGCCGUUUUGUAACGCCAGUUGCAAUGUUGCUUCUUGCCCAAUCUGCAAUUCGCCCAUGUCAUUAAUGAGACUGUCCAUACCUGUGGGCUGGUGACGCCUAGCCCUGCCCCUUGGGCGUGGAGUGCGUUGUGGAGGUAGACCCAUGGAGUCUGAAGCAUCCACUGACAUCGCUUCAUCGCCCUCUUCAACGUCAUGGUGCGAGGAUCCUCCUUGCUCCAUCUGGGCGGCUUGCAUCAUCCUUCUUGUCACCCUGCGUGUCCCUGCAACAUCUGGACUUGCCACUCGGGCUAGUCUAAUGGUAAGUGUGCGGACCCCAUACAACCGGCGCCUCGCACAUGGGAGAGGAAUUUCGGUUGUAUAGCCCGGAUAAAUCAUUUUAAGUUCACCAUUUGGAUCUCUUAUGAGCAUGUUAGCAUUGAUAAAGAAGUUCUCAUCUACCACUCCUCUAACAUAGCCAAUGUCUUCAAAAUAAUGUGAUUCAAGUAAUCCAAAAGUAUCGGCUAUUCGAGUAAUAAAGGAUGUGAAAUAGAUGGGCUUCCCAUACUCAAUAGAGUUAAGCCAAUAGUUCACUAGCAGUUUCACAGGGGAGACCUUGAUUUUACUAACCAUGGCAUAGAGAAUUUUAAGUUCAUCAUCAAUUAAAGUAUCAGUUCCCAUGCCAGGAUCUAGAGUGCACAUGAUCUAGAAGUGAAGAAAGCGCAAGGUUGGAUUAUGGAUUUCAAUGGGAGUAGGAUUUGAACAAUCAUUAGAGCCAGAAAUUGCUUUCCAGAAUCUAAAUUUAUCGAACAUUCUAGUGGCAUGAUCUAGAUCAAGUUCACAUUCCUGUUCACACCCUAAAGCAGUGUUUAGCAAAACUCCAAUUUAAUUGAUGUUCUUGCUCACACAUGCGAAAAGAUAUUCCAUUAUUUGUGAGUUUUAGGGUGCAUAGAAAUUCCUUAGCAAGCAAUUCUUUUCCAAAUUCAGGCACUUGCCAAAAACUACUCCAACCAAUUGCUCUAAACACCUUAUCGAAUUCAACAUCCAUACCUGUGCGGGCCGAAAGGUCCGGAUCGAUGAUGCUAGUGUGUAGGAAGAGACCCUCUCGGAUGAUGUAGUACCUUUGCAACUCUUCUUGGCUUAACAUGAGGCCGCUCUCGGGCUCUCUCAUCCUUGAUGGAGGCUCGUAGGGUACCAUCCCAUGGUAACCUUCUUCUUCCUCCCUUCCAUGAGCAUGGUGAGAGCCUUGAGAAGAGCUCUCACCCUUUGCUUUCUUGAACUUGCCGAAGAUAUGCUUCUUCAUCCUCCUACACAAGUGAGGCAAACCAAGCUCCUACUACUACUACUAUGCAAGGGGAAUCUUUUUGGGUUUUUGUUUUGAUGACUAUUUCUAAACUAAACUUGAGAAAUGGCUUGUAACAAAGAGAGAAGAGAAAGGAUUGUGAGCUCGAAAUGGUUCUGGUGGUUUUGGGUGUGGAGUUGAGCUCACAAUGCUGUGGUAUUUAUAGGGGGAGAAGGGCAAGUAGUGGACCCACAAUAUAGGGGUCGGCCGACCCCCCCUAGAAGCACUUUGAAUUUGAGUUUAGCUUUAUACAGGGAACCAUUCUGCAUGCUUUCAAGAUUUUGCAGAGAUGGUCCAAAAUGGGGGUCGACCGACCCCCAUCCUAGCCCCUCCUCCACUUUAAACAUUGUGUCAUUGAUUGUCCAGAAAAGUAAAGGCUAGGUGUGGACCAAAAGUUUUCAAAUUGUUUCUGAGAUUCCCUGUUUUAGUGCUUUGUGAAAGGUAAAAGAUGAAUGGCAAGAGUGGAGAUAUGUCUAAAGUGAUUCCUAUGGACCAUGGGAGCACUCAAGCAUGCCUAGGUGACCACUUUGCAGAAUUUAAGCUAGUGGAGUGGUCCCAAAAGAAUCAAAGAUGAAAGGAGCAUCUUAUGACUAAAGUAAAGGAUCAAGGGACCACUCUUUUUCAAACUUUAGCUAGUGUUACAAGCAUAGGACUCCUUUGUGAUUCAAAUGGUGGCCAGCAGGAGGCAAGUGGGGCCAAUAUGGGGGUCGGCCGACCCCCACAUUGGAGCUCCCAGAGCAUCCAAGUGCUGGGUUGGAACCUCUAUGACUAGCAAGGUUGAAAUGCGGUGAAGUGGGCCCCAAGGUGGGGUCGGGCGACCCCCCUUUGGGAGCUCCAGCAGCUCAAAUUUUUAUGACAAGUUAUUCUCAAGAUUUUAUUUAUUAUGGCUAAACAUUUUGUCGAAAUAAGAUAUGCAAAAUUCAAAGUAAGAAUGCAAUUGAAAUGCAGAAAAUAAAUAUGGGAUAACUACUGAUUUACCUUAUCAGCAAGGGCUCCAUGUUUUAGGUCCGUAGAGCAGGACCUCUCCAUCUUGUUCAUCCUUCGGGUGCAUCAGAUGGUCCCGGAGACGUGGACCUUGAUUGCACCUCUUUCUCCCGCCAUACUUGCUUGGUAUUGAUUUUUGGUUCAGCGGGUUCCUCUUCUUUCUUUUCGGCCCUUUUGGCCGACUUACCUCUCUUGUCCCUUCGGCGUCGGAUGUGGCGAGGCUUAGUCGGAGGUUCUUUGUCCUUCACCUGCAUGUUAGCUUUAUAACCAUUGAAUGGACAUUUUACCUUCCAUCCUGGGAAUUGGAGGUGAAUCUGGCCGGACCCCACAUAGAUGACUGCAUUGACCGUGUUGAGGAAUGGCCUUCCCAAGAUGAUCGAGACAUCAUUAUUGGAUCCCAUAUCUAGAAUGAUGAAGUCGGCAGGGACGUAGUCGUCUUGAACCUUUACCAGUAUGUCCCUUGCCAACCCCUCAUGGAACCUGAUCGUCUGAUCUGCCAUCUGCAAACGAACAAAUGUGGGGUGCAAAGGCCCCCCUAGCAAAUUAUCAUAAGUUACCUUGGCCAUGAUGUUGACACCCGAUCCAAGGUCGCAGAAGGCGUUGUGGAAGAUUUGCGGUCCGAUCUCACAGGUGAUGGUCGGCAGGCCUGGGUCGUCCUUCUUGGUGAUGAAGGGCGAAUCCAGAAGAUAGCUCCAGUUGGAUUGUACCGGAGGCUUACCGAACCUCGUAGUAACUAGUUUAACUCCUUCAAUUGGGUCCUCAGGUUUCCCUGGGAUCUUACCUUGCUCGAAGGAUGGGACAGCUGCUGCUAAUUGAGCUAAUUGUGUUUCUAGCAUUUUGUUAAAGCUCAACUGAUUUUUCAUAGCAGAGUUAAAGCUAUCCAACUUUUCACUUAAGUUUUCAAGGAUCUUAUCAUUAGCCAUCAUUUUCUUGUUAAUGCUAUCAUUGAUUUUAGAUUGGCCUAAGACAAGAUCUCUAAGAGAAGGUUGGUUACCAAAAGAAUUAUUGAAAUUUUGAUUGUAACCAUUACCUUGAUUACCUUGGUAGAAGGGGCGCGAGUUCCAUUGCUGUUGUUGGGGCCGGUACCCAUUGUUGUUGUUGUUGAUGAAGCUCACUUCCUCCUUUGUUUCGGGACAAUUGUUUCCCGAAUGAUCAUCUCCUCCGCACACUUCGCACCAUGAAUCAGAUUCAAUGGCCCGUGCAGUGGCGUAAGGUUGAAUGGUCUCUUGCUUGGAACUUUCUUCCAUCUUCUUCAUUAAGAGGUCCAUCUUAGAAGAGAGCAUGUCCACCUCAUUCAAGGCAUGGACACCUCUUCUCUUGGGUUGGAGGCGUUCCUCAUUCCAUCCUUGGUUUAUAACCAUCUUUUCAAUGAGGUCCUUGGCAUCCUUGACAUUGUGUUGCAAGAAUGCUCCUCCAGCGGCAGCAUCAAGGUGACUACGGGCCAAACCGGUCAGGCCAUGGUAGAAACCUUGGAUUAGGAGCCACUCCUCUAUCCCAUGAUGAGGACAGGCGCGAAUGUACUCCUGCAGACGUUCCCAUGCUUCGGGAAUCGUCUCAUCCGCUUGCUGUUGGAAGCUGGAAAUCUUUCCACGAAGGGCGCUGGUCUUGCCCAUCGGAAAGAACUUCUUGAGAAAUGCAUUGGCGCACCUCUCCCACGUGGUCACUUCACCCUUGUUGGCGUAGAUCCAUUGCUUCGCCUUCCCCAAUAACGAGAAUGGGAAGAGGCGAAGACGGAUGGCGUCUGUGGCGACAUUCUUGAUGGUGAAGGUGCCGCACACCUCCAAGAAGUGUUGGAGAUGGGCAUUGGCAUCCUCGUGUGGCUUUCCACAGAAGGGAUUAGCUUGCACCAUAUUGAUAAGCGCAGGCUUCAACUCAAAAGUCGCAUCCCCCAAGUUAAGCUGCGGACCCGUGGCGACAUUGUCAGCCGACGGCGCAGAGUACUCAGAGAUGGUCUUCUGGGCCAUAGCUUCUUUGAUAACCGGUGCAGAUACUCCUUCCUCUAACGGAUUCAGGUUCGAGAUGAACCUUUGAGGUGGAACUUGACGACGUCUAGUUCUCCUCAACAGUUGCUCAGGAUCUUCAACGAAGUUUGACGGCAAUUGGAAACCGCUCAUACACUGUCAGGCUUCACAAUAAAGGAAGACAAGACAAGUGAUGGGUUAUCCCUAUCACUACUUGAUAACUAGCAAACUCUGGAUUCUCUUUUUGUUAAAACUCUUAGACAGACGCUUUCCCCGGCAACGGCGCCAGAAAUGCUUGUUGACACUUCUUAACGCAACCACCGGAUAUCGGCGACGGCGCCAGAAGUGCCCUGGUAGGGUAACUCUAUUUACUAUUGGAUAAUUCCGCAAGCGCACAGAAUGUACCGCUGUAGCACUUCACCAAGGAGUAUUCCAAGGUAUCGUAAUUUAUAUUUUCCCAAGGGAAAGCGGCUAAGUGUGUUUAACAAAAAGGGGAAUGAGAUUCCUUGAGUUAUCUAGUAUCAACUAGUGAAUAAGGGUGGUAAAUAACGAAUAGGAAGGGUAGUGGUGAAUCCAAGGUCCUAUGCUAAAGGUAAAUGGUAGAGUUAGCUAGGUGGGAGGACAACGAGUGAGUAAAGGACUCCUAUGUAUCUAACUUGACUUCUGUGACUUACUUUAAUAGAUAAUUGUCUUAACUACGCUAGAGCCUUACUAACUGUGUGCGAGGGAUAGCCGAGCUGGUACGACGCUUAGAAGGUUUUUCACCUAACCCCUUACCGAAAGCGACUAUUGGGCUUAUGGACGCCUUACCUUUUAAGAACUAGCCUGUACGUGAGGAGAACCUAAUGCCGCCCACGAUCUGUCACCUACUAGGGAGUGCGCUCCUACUUUCCGUUCAAGCCAGCGGUAAUCAAAGGUAAUCUUAAGUAUGAGCACCACGCUCACACUUAAUCCUACAAGAUAGGACGAUGAUGCACACACAGGAGUGGUUACAGGUCACUAACUUCACUAAGACAACUAUAUUACUAAAGUAAAUGCACAACAAGACUAAAAGACUUGCACUAAGUAAGAACUUAGUAAAGUAAAGUAAGAAUAAUAUAUUAAUAAAAGGAAAGUCUUACAAAAGUAGAAAGGUACAAGAGCUAUACCAGACUCUCCAGAAGACGACUCCGGAGACCCCGAGCUUCGCUCGACUCGACUCUAACUCCCACUCUAGACUAACUACUACUCUACUUGUAUGCUUGGAACUUGUAAUGCACUUGGCCUUGGAAUUGCACACUUGAAAUGAAGGAUGGAGGCUGCCUUUUAUAGAGGGAGAUGGAGUAGGGGUUACUCCAUCGCCACGUCAUUGAUCCGCGUGACAUCUUCUCUCCACCCUUGGAUCAAACCGACCUCACAACCGCCAUUUGAUCAACGGCAGGGGCAAAUCAACAUGUGGGACAUGUGGGGAAGGUCGGUGGGAGGCCACCGACCCUGGAACCGCCUUUGAUGUGGGGUCGGGCGACCCCACUUCUGGGCCUCUGGGCCCACCAGCAGUGUCCACAGGGGUCCCUUAUGUCGGUGGACUAGGUGGCACACCUGGGUCCCACCAAAGAGGGGUCGGGCGACCCCCUCCCUGUGGGCCCAGGGUGUCACCUGUUGUCCCCUCGAUCUCCUCUUGAUGAUUCUGAUGUUGGCUUUGUCAAAUAAUGUCUUGAAUUUGUUGUUCCUGCAUAAACAAGCUAAGAGUACAAGUGGAACUAGUUAUGGAUAAAAUAUGUUCAUGUCAUGUCGUUUCCCCUUGCAACCGAGGCAUGUUGACAGUGUUUUGUAUGUGGAUUUCUAUGGUAUAUCCACCGUCAACAACAUCACAACACAAGACACACACACACUCACAUAGUAGAGCUACACACUUCAUACCACGCUUGUAUUCGCCCCUGUACAAGCACUUAGGUGCAAGAUAAUACAAACUCUCUCCCCCCCGCUGGACGUAGGGCCUUCUCUUGCCCGAACCAGGAUAAAUCUCUGUGUCUUCUUGCAUCACCAUCCGGAAAGGGGAGCACGCAUACAAAUUUACUCGUUGGUGUGACCCCCCGGGGGAAAAACACCGACACUUGUUGACGGUCCUUUGCUCAUAUUUAACCAUCAAUUAAUCAUGGAAAAGGAUCCAAAUGCAACCAACACCUAGACUUAGGGUUUUAUCUGACAGAAUUCCACGAGUUUUGGUGUUUGUCUAUUUCUACAGGGGGUUAUCAGGAAAUACGGAAGAAAGGCUCACAUGUCAUGUUUACAUAGAGAUAUUAACGUGCUGCACAAUUUUCUAUCAUCUAGAAGACUCCAGAAGCCACGGGAACAAAGCAGAAGCCGAGAGGACUCAGGGACAGGGCGCCCGCCCUCCUCUCCUGGGUGCCCGCCCUCACAUAGAGUCCAAUCCGGACUCCCUUUCGGGAUAUUGCUCCACCGACCUAAAGGAUCAAGGAUAAUCGUUCAAUCAAUGUCGGUUUGAUCCAACGGCCCAGAUUCACUUGAAGGGACUAUAAAACCAGACCCCCUGGCCCCUGGAGAUCAUACCUCUUCUACAGAAUCAAACCUAGGGUUUCAAUUCUUCAUCCAAGUAGAGAGGAUCCCUCUAGUUCAUCUAGUUCUAGUUCUAGUACCUCUAGUUCUAGUUCUAGUUAGUUCUAAUUGUAAUCUAGAAAAUAGGGAGAGAGAAGAGAAGAGCGGAGGAGGAGGAGCCGGAUCUGUCGGAUCUUCCUCAACAUUGUACUUUUGCAGCAACUGGUUCGUUCUUCAUCGUUCUCCAAGUUCUUCAAUUCAUAAUUCCUGAGUUCUUUAAUUACUUUUAUUUACAUUCAAGUUAUUUAUUGGAUUCCCGCUUGCAUCAAGUGCUCUAGUCUUUAUAACACUAGAGUAGUAAUUAAUAGAUUAGACGUGGUGUUUAGUCUUGCAAUUACCUGGAAUUGCACCCAAUCCUGCGGAUUGUUGUGGUAGCCCUAGGGUAGUGACAGCCCUAACGGUCGACGUAUUCCACCUCGUUCGGAUCGGUGUUUGUAGGACCGUAGUCAGAGCUUCCUAGCCCCCUUCUCAUCUCUUUCUGUGGUUAGUGUUCUGAUGUCCCGAAAUAAAUAAUCUUUGAAGUAAUUCUUUAUUCUCAGAUCAAUUAGAGAACUCCUGCUGCUGCUGCUCCUCCUGCUGAUGCUGCAGCUGCUCCUCCGGCUGGGGUCGCUGCUGCUGCUGCUUCAGUGACGGCUGCGUCGCCUCGCGCUCCCGCUCCUCCUCCUCCACCAUCUUCCUUUGCGCCUCGAGAGCUCGAAGGCCUGCAGGCCAGGGAGUCCGUCCCGCGACGUUGGGGGUCGAUGCUUCUUCCUCCAUAGGUCGAGCGCCCCCAGACGCUUCGUUGCCAUCAGACGUAUCGCUGAUGGUGAUGGGUUCCCCCUCGACCCCCAAUCGAGAGGGCUCGGGGGCUCCCUCUGACGCUCGCGUCUGGGGGGCCGCAUCAUGAGUCGGCGGCGGCGGAGUAGGCGCGGGACGAGAUAAAGCCCUCUCGACGCCGGCUGGAGGUUGGGUGCUGGAUGAGCCUACAAAACAAAGGGUAAGGGUCAGACGUUAUGAUAACCAACGCAAGAAUAUCGCGACGCCCGGGAAUUAACUACGAACCUGGUUCCGUGGAGGCGGCACCCGUUCUGAGCCUCUUGGCCAUAGACGGUUGGGCCUGCUCAAGAGUCCGCUUCAGCCUGAGAAAAGGUCGGCAUAUGAGGAAAGGUGGAAGAAUGGGAAGACAAAAACCGCAACAUCAAAAAAGGCUUACCCCACGGGGAGAACGGCUCGCCUUCCGCCACCCCGACCAGCGGGCCUCGAGCCACCCAGCGUCGGGGCUCCGGGCCCCUCGAGGGCACGAACCAGCUUAGGCACGUCGGUUCCCGCCUGGCGGACGCCUGGACCCGCGCUCUUACGGCCGGCAUCUCCUCUCUCAGAGGCAGCGGCGCGACCACGGGUUAGCGGCCCCGACGCCUGGGACCUAGCCGGAUCGCUCUCCCUGGGCACCGGGGGAGGGCGCGGUGCGUCUUGUCCCACCUUGGGCGCGGGAGGGGUGUCGGCCCGGGGACGACGAGAUCCGCUCGGACCCUCCUCUGGCGCCUCUGUCCGGGGGGCGUCGGCGUCGCCUCGAGGCGGGCCCUCGAGGAUCCGAUCGAGGCGCGACGCCAUCCCCUCGGAGUCGUUGCUGUCCUCGUCGUCAUCGUCGUCAUCAUUGGGGGAUUCUUCCUUAGGCUCCCCCCUCUGCCUGGAUUUGGCUCGACGCGCCUCUAAUGCUUGGCGGUCGAGGUUCUUCUUCUUCUCCCCCUUCUUUGCGGAGUCCUUGGCAGACUUCAGCUUUUCGGCAGAUUGGCGCCGUUUGUCGCGAUCGACCUCGUCCUCCUUUACCGGAGGCCUCGAGGACCGGACAUCAAUCCGACCCUGCCAAAACUAAGGUAGACUUAGAAAAAAGAGAGGGGAGAAAGGAAACUUAGAGUUGGGGAUGCGCGUAAGAAGAAAGCGUACCAGAUCGAUCGAGCCUGCGUCAGGUCUCAUGGGGAAGCCGUUGACAUGCUCCGGCUGAAAAUCACCGGCAAUUGCGGCCCUGACUCGGGCCGCGACUUCGUCGUCCACCGGAGGCUCGUUGGACAUCCGACAUGCCUCGAGGUCCCGAGAUGAGACGCCAGGGCCCAUCUCGUCCAUCCUCAACGGUCGUGACAUCAGAGGGAGAACUCUCCGAUGAUGGACGGCCGAGAGGACGAGGGCGGCGGUCAAACCUUCCUGGCGAAGCUUCCUCAGGGCGUCGAGGAGAGGGUCGAGCCGAGACUGAUGAGCUUGGACGACGCCGUACGUCCAGUCCGCUGGACGCUCCAAGAUCAGACGGCCCGAGUAGAAAGGCAGGAGGUUGUCGUCGUUCCGCAGGUAGAACCAUUGGGAGUCCCAGCCGGCGUGGUUGGUCGACAACCCUACCGAGAUGUACUCCCGCGGCCGGUCCGUCUUCCCCGUCUUCUGCACCAGAUUGAGGCAACCCGCCCGCAUGGGCUUCCUUACGCCCGUGGUUCCGGUGGAGGCGUGAAACAGCUCGCCCCUGUAGAGGUGGAGCCACAGCUCCCAGUGCGGCAUCAUCCCCAGGAAGCCCUCACACACGGCGGCGAAGACCGCCGCUACGGUGAUGGCGUUCGGAGAGAAGUGCUGGAGCUCCACCCCAUAAUGGAAGCAGAGGGCUCGCAUGAAACGGCUUGGAGGCGCGCCCAGACCGUGGUGGUGAAACUUGGCGAACGACACCACGUAGCCCUCGGGCGGCUGAGGCGCCCUGUGACUCGCCGGCGGCGCGAUCCACUCUGGCGACGACAGCGAGGUGCGGCGGCGCAGCAGUCCCUCCUUCUCAAGCUCUAACAGCCGGCGCUCCGUCAUCGACGACGGGCGCCAGUCGUCGGCGGCGACGAGUCUUACAGGCAUCUCGGCUAAAGGGGCGGUGGGUUCGCUACAGCUCGAGGGGGCGUGUGCGCGUGAGAUGGCGAGAAAGCAAAGGCAGCGAAGGAACAAGAGCGAGAAGGCGGAAGGGAGAGGAACGGCGGUGACGCGACGACGUAUUUAUAGGCAGCUGUCCGCCAACGGACAGAUCCGAGAAGUAAGGUAACUCCCCCCACAAAUGCGCCGCCUGACAGUCCUCUCUCUCUCCUCACAGGACGGACUCUCCGAAUUCCUCGCCGAUACGGUGUCGUAACGUCAUCCGCCUAAAAAGGCGCGCCCAACGGGCAGAAAGGCGAACCGCCACGGCCGUUUCCUUCCCUCGUAAGCCAAGGGACGUAACCACAAAAGUCUCGAGAGGUCGAUGGCUGGCCCGCCAAAAGGGUUCGACAGCCGAUCUCGAGCGCCAGAGUCAGGGAUCCCCAGCGAGCGGUCGAAGAUCGAGGCCCGCCUCGAGGACUCACUGGCGAUGUUCAAGGUAGGGUCGAGACAGUCGAGAGGAAUCCCCCCGACAGGAGGCAUCGAGCCGCCGGUCUCUAUCGAAUGAGACUGGUAUCCCCGACCACGUCGACCCCGCUUUAUGAGGACGCCUCCGGGCUACAGCUGACCCCCUCGAAAGGGGCACAGGUUCUCACUGGGACUACCCGCUAGGAACUCAAUUUGGGAUGGAAGACGCUCGCUCUAUCGAGAGUACGUCGAAACCCCCGGGCAAAAACGAGCCAAUCGGAAUCUUCCACCACUGGUGUCGAAAGCGUUUCUGCGAAUUAGAUAACAUAGCCCUCGAAGGAGUCAAAAACUCCUCCGAGGGCUCGGGGGCUACUGUCGAGGGUAUCGGUAAGGGGUACCCUCAGCGAUGCGCAUUAUGAGAUUGCCCGUACGAAGGUCGAGACCCUUAAUUCGACGCUCUAAUCUUACGUAUGCGCCGCCAUCGACGGUCGCAGCCUCGAAGACGGAAAUAGCGUCGAGCGAAUCGGUCAGGGCUCGAGCGACGACUGCCGUCGAAAACGGAAGCGGGCUCGAGCGAACCGAGAGGCGUCGGGCGCAAGGACACUGUCCGCCGCCCGACGCGCGCACGCGGGCCGGAGCAUUAAAUGCACCUGACGCUUCCCCACCUAACACACAGGUCACGGAAGGCGUGAUAGGGAACAAGCUUCUGUCCCAUCGUUCUUUUUGCAGCCUUCCCACCGAACGACCCAGGGCGUGUCAGGACGCAGGAAACAAGGAUGGAACGUCUAAUCGGGACCCCCUCGAGACACCCAAGGUCAGCGCUCCAGAUACCAGCAUAUUACACGGCGUCCGACCCUCGACCGAACAGCGUCCCUUCCUAGGGACAAGUUGGGCAUCGACUGACAACACCACAGCUACCCCGCCGGGUCCGCCACCAUACCGUACGAGCAUGCGACCUCAGAACCAGCACAAGGCGGCUGGCAGGGCAAAACGCAGGAGCACGCGUAAUCAUCACCGGGCUAUCAAGAUGGGACGGCUCGAGGCCAUGCCGUAUGGAAGCCUCGAGUAGGUCAGCGUUCCAUGCGGCUAUCGAUCCCUACUCUAACAUCUACGCAUGUACCCUGUGUCUCUCCUUGGAGCUAUAAAAGGAGAGACUCAGGAAUAGAAGAGGGGGACAUCACAACACAAGACACACACACACUCACAUAGUAGAGCUACACACUUCAUACCACGCUUGUAUUCGCCCUUGUACAAACACUUAGGUGCAAGAUAAUACAAACUCUCUCCCCCCCGCUGGACGUAGGGCCUUCUCUUGCCCGAACCAGGAUAAAUCUCUGUGUCUUCUUGCAUCACCAUCCGGAAAGGGGAGCACACAUACAAAUUUACUCGUUGGUGUGACCCCCCGGGGGAAAAACACCGACACUUGUUGACGGUCCUUUGCUCAUAUUUAACCAUCAAUUAAUCAUGGAAAAGGAUCCAAAUGCAACCAACACCUAGACUUAGGGUUUUAUCUGACAGAAUUCCACGAGUUUUUGUGUUUGUCUAUUUCUACAGGGGGUUAUCAGGAAAUACGGAAGAAAGGCUCACAUGUCAUGUUUACAUAGAGAUAUUAACGUGCUGCACAAUUUUCUAUCAUCUAGAAGACUCCAGAAGCCACGGGAACAAAGCAGAAGCCGAGAGGACUCAGGGACAGGGCGCCCGCCCUCCUCUCCUGGGUGCCCGCCCUCACAUAGAGUCCAAUCCGGACUCUCUUUCGGGAUAUUGCUCCACCGACCUAAAGGAUCAAGGAUAAUCGUUCAAUCAAUGUCGGUUUGAUCCAACGGCCCAGAUUCACUUGAAGGGACUAUAAAACCAGACCCCCUGGCCCCUGGAGAUCAUACCUCUUCUACAGAAUCAAACCUAGGGUUUCAAUUCUUCAUCCAAUUAGAGAGGAUCCCUCUAGUUCAUCUAGUUCUAGUUCUAGUACCUCUAGUUCUAGUUCUAGUUAGUUCUAAUUGUAAUCUAGAAAAUAGGGAGAGAGAAGAGAAGAGCGGAGGAGGAGGAGCCGGAUCUGUCGGAUCUUCCUCAACCUUGUACUUUUGCAGCAACUGGUUCGUUCUUCAUCGUUCUCCAAGUUCUUCAAUUCAUAAUUCCUGAGUUCUUUAAUUACUUUUAUUUACAUUCAAGUUAUUUAUUGGAUUCCCGCUUGCAUCAAGUGCUCUAGUCUUUAUAACACUAGAGUAGUAAUUAAUAGAUUAGACGUGGUGUUUAGUCUUGCAAUUACCUGGAAUUGCACCCAAUCCUGCGGAUUGUUGUGGUAGCCCUAGGGUAGUGACAGCCCUAACGGUCGACGUAUUCCACCUCGUUCGGAUCGGUGUUUGUAGGACCGUAGUCAGAGCUUCCUAGCCCCCUUCUCAUCUCUUUCUGUGGUUAGUGUUCUGAUGUCCCGAAAUAAAUAAUCUUUGAAGUAAUUCUUUAUUCUUAGAUCAAUUAGAGAACUCUCUGGAAACUUCCUCUCUUUCCACCAAAAAUAAUUAUAUAGUUAUCCUUAGGCGAUCUUGAAUCUUAAUUAGUACACUCACGUUCCCUGUGGAAAAUCGAUACUCUGGAAUACUCCCGGGUGAAACCUACAUCGGUAUCCGUGCGCUUGUGGAAUUUUCUGUUUGCGUUUAAAAUACGCAACAAUAAGGAACAAAAGUUGUUUCAUGGACAUCUCAUGAAAAUGAUCACAACUUUCUCAAAAAGUGCUUACAAGGCAGAUUUGGGGGCUAUUUUGACACUUAGCAAAAUUUUGCUAAGUCGUGGUGCCACCAGUUUACCUGAUCGAUUUUGGGAGCUUCAUAUCUCUUCAUCCAGGCUGAAUUUUUCUUUGCUCCAGUUGACAAACUUGUAGAACUCGGUCAGUACUCCAAGAAUGUCAACUACACCAUCUCCUAAUUCGCCACGGUUUGGAAGAUAUGCAACUCCAAAGUAGCUCUACCAGACUAGCAUUACAAGCUCUGAUGGUGAGCUCGGCUCGCCGUCGUGGCCGACCAGCGCAGCACCUGGCUGCCAUUUGGCGACCGUACGCUGGUGCUGGCCCCACUCGUCAGGUCGUCGACGCCGUCAUGGAUGCCACGCCACCCCGCACACGCCCAGUGCCCGUCCACUCUCUCCCUCCCGCUCUCUCGCGACUCCGACGGCGAAAACGCCAUCGCCAUUGCCGUCGAGAGCUUCAUGAGCUCCUCACGCUCUCGUCUUCGUGUCUCACCUCUCCUCCGAGAUUCUGCGAGUCCGCCUCGAGCUCUUCCAUCUUCUCGACCUCUUGGCUGGUGGAGAUCUCCCCGAGGUGAGCCGCACUUCACAAGGUUGUCGUCGUCGGGUUCACGGCCGUCGUGACCCUGAUUCCGGCAAACCUCGCCGCUGCUCUAUCCCUGCCUUCUCCCUUCUUUCUGAGUCACGUUAGAGCUUGUCUAGGUCAUGGUCGUGGUCUGUGUCCCCCCAUUCAGGCCUUGGUGACACCGUCGUGCGGGAAAACGGCCAGCGCACCGCCGUGCUCACCGCCGACGACCACCCCGCACGUGAGCAGACUCAUCGGAGCCAUUAGGGUUAGGCCUUUCUACCUAGAAAGCUCCACAUUGUCUCAUUAAUGCUUAAGCCGCCCUUCCCCGACGCUAUACCGGUCGGAGAUGGCCGGCGUAAGCCGAGGUAGCUCCGCCGUGCCGCCAUGGCCGACGGCGACACCUUCCCGUCGCUCCAACCCUAGAGCCACCUACCUCUAUCGACGCGGAAUGAUCAAGGAGCACGCUGAUGCCUUUGGAUCCACCGGAGAAGCUCAUCAUCGGCGAGCAUUCGCCGGCGAGUGUGUUCUCUGCUUCCUGUGACGCUGACACGCGGGUCCCACUAUCAGUGGCACAACGGCUCCCUCCUCUCUUUUAUUUAAAUCCCAGAUUUCUUGCAAUAUUGCAAAAAUCAUAUCUUCUGUUUCUGAGCUCCAAAAGUUGUGAAACAAAUUUUUUGAUGAUCCAUGGGAUGGCUAGUUUUUAAUAAAAAUAUAAUAUGCACCAUGUUUUCUGUGAAAAAUAAUUGUUAUAUAUUAAUCUUGUUAAUUCUAUGUAAAUUCAUAUCUUUUAAUAUACUGCUUAAAUUGUUAUGAAAUUUUAUGCUAUGCUCUGUAUAGUAUUGGAAUGCUCUGGUAAAUAUUUCAUGAUUUUUGGGGUGCUAUAUCUCUGAUAUGUAAUUUAUGUCCAUACUAUUGCUUAAAUCCAUGUUUAAAUCAUAUUAAAUGUUAUAUGCUUAUGGUGGUGUUCUCCUUUGGUGUCAAGCUUGCUCAUAGUAGUAGUAACAUGUAAAUGAUCUGAAAUCUAUUGUUUGACACUAUUUAAGCCAUGUUUCUUAAUUUAUGAUAUAAGUACCUUGCUGCAUGUUGAUUGAAUAUCUCAAGUUUGGCAUGUGCAAUUGCUCUGAAACUUUUUUGGUGAUGUCCAGGUGCCAUGCUUGUACUUCUGUAAUUUUUAUAGAUUUUUCUGAGCACUCUUGCUGGUAUCUUUUAAUUAUGUCCUUUUAUGAACUUAAAUUAAUAAAUGCCUUUUUGUUAAGUAUUUAGUUAUCAACAUGUGGUUUUCUGGUAAUCUUAGUUUAUGUUUGUGCUUAUGAAUCACGUGAUGAUGGUCGAUCUCUUCCUGGUCGAUGAUUCUGACGAUGGACGAUCAGCCGGCAAAUGAAGGAAGGCGGCGUGCCUCAAGGGCAAGAAGGAGCGUGCGACUCAAGGCAAAGAAGGAGCAUGUGCCUCGAGGGGAAGGAGUGCAUAGGCUGUUAGGGAAGAAGGGCGGCGUCCCUCAAUGGGAGGAAGCACGAGCGUGCGGCGAGCCUUCGAUAGGGAAGGGCUACGACGUCGCUGGAUGAAACAGGCCGCGACCUCAACCUGACCCUCCGUACCUAAUAGAUCGAAUUAUUACUUUUAUUUACCUAAACAGUUUUAUAGUAUAUAUAAAAAAUCGACUAUGGCUUAAGAAGACAUAAAACCAACUGUAGUGCGAUGGUAAAUGUCCCUCUAUGACUACCAAGGGUUCUGAGUUCAAAACCUGGUUUUGAUUGUUUUUUGUAAUUUUUUUAUAUAUGACCAUUGUGCUAACAAAUCUUGGUAUUGCAACGGCAAGAAACUAUUUGCAACAACAAUAAAAUCAUGGCAAUAGUAACCAAUUAAUGCAACCAAGAACAAACCGUUGCAAAUUCAUCUUUGUACUGAAACGACAAAACCAGUUUUUGCAACACCCGUGAUUACAUUGCAAAAAGUGACCUCUUUAUGCAACCAAUAAAUAAAAGUGUUGCAAUAUAUUCUUAAUAUUGCAACGCCAACUUAACUCUCAGCAACGGAAUUAACAUCGUAGCAAGAGUCAUAGACAAAUGCAACCAAUGUAUAAAAGCGUUGCAACAUCAUCUUAGUAUUGCACCGACAAAAAAAUUCUCCGCAACAGGAAAUAAAUCAUGGCAAGAGUGACAAUUUCCUGGAACCCUCAUCAAUUGCGUUGCAACAACUCUUACUUUCUGCAACGAUCUUCAUACUUAUUGCGACAAUACAAGUUGCGUGGCAACAAAACCAUCUAUCGCAACCGAAAUGACAAAUGGUUGCGAAAGCACACAUUCUUGCAACCAAAUAAGUGUCGCUGCACCAAAAAUGCGUGGCAAAAGGGUUGAAAUCUUGUAGUGGUCUUUACAGAAAUUAUGUUCCACAAACUCUCGUUGUGCAAAAGAACAGAAGACUGCACACACAACUGGGAGAAAAAGCCAUGCUAGACUCAAAAAAGAGAUGGUGAUAAAUAUUCAUCCGCUGAUAUUUGUUAUAUCCCACUAUCAUCUAUUUUAGUUUUGAAAUGACACCCAAAUAACUCUAUUGUGCAGGAAUCCAGAAAUAAAAGAAAGGUUCAUAGGAUAGAACUAUGGGAGGCAGCUCAUAAAAAAAAGAAUGGCAUAUAUACUACCAAAAAAAUGGAGACAUCGAUGGUACGUACAUUUUCUGGUUCAAGUGGUUUAUCCUUGAUCUGAAAAUCAGUUUACAAUUAUGUAACCUUCCCAUAUACUCAUUUCAAUAGGCUGCAUCUCAUGAGGAAUUAAAAAUAAGGAGAGGGAACAAUGAUGGUAAUCGUCUUUCAUCCAAAGAUUACAAUGAAGUGUUCAACAAUAUUGUUGCCAAGGAGUUUAAAGCACGUGGAUACUAUGAUAAUAAGUACUGGAGUCAAGUACAAGUUUCUCAAGGUUUGACUUUUGUUACUCAAACUGAGGAAGAAAGAAUGUACCAAGAGAAAGUAAAUGCAUUGGAAAAUAAGAUGGAAUGCAUGAGUGGUGCCAUGAAGCACUGGGUUGCUUUUAUGUCAAAAAGGUAUCCAGAAGACGAUAUGAUAAAGGCAAUGGGAGCAGCUUUACAAGAUAAAGUAAGCUUAUGUUGAACCAUGCCCCCGCUCUCUCUAUCUCUCUCAGAAUAAGAGCUAAUUUUUUUAACCUUGUGUUGGUUCAAAUUUUUCAAGAAGGUGACAAUUAUGACCAUGAGUGUACUGAUGAUGGCAUCUCUAAAAAUUAUGUUUUCGUACAUACUAAUGGCAUUCAUGAAGACUCAGAUGCUGAUGUGAACUCUCCAACAAAUGAAGUGCAGGUAUAGCUACUUUGUCAUUAGCUAUAUAAUAUUUAAGUUCAUGCUAAUGGCUUGUAGAACAUGGUUCAGGUCAACCGGCAACAACCUUCUGUCUAUAGAAGUCCCGGACGAACUGAAGUCCAUACAUCUAAACCACAUAAGAAAACAACUUCAAAGGUAUGUUAGAAAUGCCUACUUGAUUAUCGAUGCACAUGCCAAAAGUCUAGAAAUAUAGCUAUUAUUACCAACAACAUCAAGCUACAUUUAUUUUGUGUCCCUUGCAUAGCUUUCCCUAUCUUGUAUUCGGUUACUAGCUCUAUAGGUUCAGUAAUCGAUCAGUUUCAGAUCUUUUACCGUGUGUUUGGUUGGGGGUUGGGUGGGUUGGGUUGGAUCCAACCCAGUUUUUUGGGACGAAGCCAAUCCAAAAGAGUAUUUGGUUGCACUUCGAUUUUAGGGACAGACUCAACCUGUUUCAGUGUUUGGUUGAAGGAUUGGGGACGGAGCGGCUCCGUUCAGUGUUUGGUUGAAGGAAUUUAGUAUUUGGUGAACAUCAACCCGGCUGGAGCGGAUCCGUCCGCCAGAUUUUGACGGACGAGUCCAACCCGCCUCUAAGAGGAAUAUUCCACUCUGAAGCCAACCCAACCCUCCCAUCCUCCAACCAAACAGCCACGGGAAUGGGUUCGCUCCAACCUGGCUCGCCCCGCUCUCCAACCAAACACAAGGUUACAUUCCUUGUUGGCAUCUCGGAUCGCUCCCUGAUUUAUAUGAUUGCAAUGUGUUUAAUUUUUCUAAUAAACUAGCCAACUACACAGGUAUUUGUUGUCCUCGUCACUUUAAUUUUACAAGCUUGAAUGCAUAAAAACUUUUGAUUGAACUUGUUCUGUCAUACUAAAACAAGAGCUAUAUAGACAAGUGUAGUAUAUUUUUUUGGUAAGUUACGAGCAUGUGCUAGGUUCGAGGGUACUCAUUUGUCACUGCAGUGCAACAUGCUAGGUUCGAGGGUACUCAUUUGUCACUGCAGUUCAACUUAUAUUAAGCAUGAGUGGUGUUGACAUAAAUUCCUUGGCCUUGGCCGUAAUUUGCAUAAGAACAUAUAAAUUAUUUGCCUUCUAUUCUAAAUCUUAAUUAGCAUGCUCCAUUGUCUAUGGUUCUAUUCACAUAAAAUCUGCUGAAGCAUAAAUUAUUUGAACUAAAUCAUUUUACAUGUAUGCUGCACACGCUUGAUCCAUUCAUUCACAUAAAAUCUGCUAAAGCAUAAAUUCUUUGAACUAAAUCAUUUUACAUGUAUGCUGCACACGCUUGAUCCAUUCGUAUCUGUAGAUGGUUUAGGUUAUCAUCUCACAUCAUGUUUAUUUCUAGUUGACUCAUGUAGAGAAAAAAUCACUCUUGAUACAUGAUUGGGUCCAUUGAUUGCUUAAUUCAAUGCCUCUAAUAUUUAUCUUUUCUUUUUCCAUAUUAACUUAGCUAAACUAUGCCUGCAGGAGGCACAACCUAAUGGAAAUGUAAUCACAAAUUUGUCACGUGAUCCAAUAUUGCACAAUAUGGUAUGUCCAAGCUAAUAAUAUAAUAUUGUUUCAUUUGAAAUUUAAUGACUGAAAUUGAAUAAGCGAUGCUAUGUUUUGUUGUUUUAAAUCAUUUCUAUUAUAGAGAACUCGAAGGACUAAAGCCACCAACAUGAGCAUACUAGAAUCAGUAUGUGCUUCUAUUUGCCUUAUUUCUUUUCAGAUCACAUUAGUUACCCUUUCAAAGAUCAUAUGUUCAUGUUUUGUAAUUUGUAGAGACUAGAGGAAGUCUAUCUUAUUUCACUCAUAAACAAAGGCGGAGUUGUGGCCAAAGGAAAGUUAGUGACUACUGAUAGCCAAAGAGAGAUUUUAGGAACAAAGCUUGGAACCGAAUACUGGGGGGUUUAUGUUGAAGACCUUAAGAAUAUUGAACGUGGCAAUAUUGGAGAUGAGGAGAUAUCUAGACAAUUUGAUCAGAUUCGUACACUAAUUGAUGCUAUUGGCUUUGUUAUUGCUUGGCCAAGUACACUUGUAAGUUUGAUUUUUUUCCAUUUAAAAUAGUACAUGUGAAAGGUCCAAAUGCCUAGAGGGGGGGUGAAUAGCCUAUUUAAAUUUUCUACGAACUUCAACUAGACAAGUUGAUUAGUAAAACAAAAGGCGAAGCUAUUCUAGCACUAGCACAACUAAGCUUUGCAAGCCACCUAUACAAGUCUAGCAAGAAGACUAAACACUAAGUCACAACAAGAAAGCAUAACUAAAGCCUAUCUACACUCCUAAGCAAGAAGGCUAAGCUAAGCAAACUAAACAACUAGCAAGGUAUGCAAUUAAGUGAUGGAGUGGGGAGUGAUUGUUAUACCAAUGUUGUAGAGUGGGUAUAUGACCAGUCAAUCAAUCACAAGAGAAUCCUCGGCAAGAGAUGACACAAGAUUUUUUACCGAGGUUCACUUGUGUUGACGGUCCUUAAGUACCAAAUAUAAUCAUCAAAUAAAUAAAGAAAAGGAUCCAAAUGCAACCAACACCCAGACUUAGUGUUUUAUCUAAUAGAAUUCCACAAGUUUUGGUGUUUGUCUAUUUCUGCAGGGGGUUAUCAGGAACUAUGGAAAAAAAGGCCCACACGUCGGGUUUACAUACAGAUAUUAACGUGCCACGCAAUUUUCUAUCAUCUAGAAGACUCUAGAAGCCACGGAAACGAACGGGAGGCCGAUCGGGCUCGGGGGCAGGGCGCCCGCCCUCCCCCCUUGGGAGCCCGCCUGUUGACGAAAGCUAGUCAGCAGUCUACCUCGGGGUAUACCCACGGUAGUAGUUUAUCGGUAGACGGUGCGCAAACUACGAACUCGAUGGUGACGCAAGACACGGACAAGCUUUUUAUCCAGGUUCGGCCGCCGAGUUGGCGUAAUACCUAUGUCCUGCGUCUGGUUGUAUUGAUUUGUGUUGAGAGAAUAAUGAUGUAUGAUUUGUCCUCUAGGGGACCCCUGCCCCUCCUUAUAUAUCCUGAAGGGACAGAGUUACAAGCAAAGUAUCCUAUUUGGUACAAAAUCUUGUAGCCUUGUGGUGCACGCCGACCAGUCGUGCGCCGGACGUCUUCAUCUUGUGGGCCGAGCCACCUCUGAUGGUGCGGCCCAUAUAGGCCCAUGAGGGUAUAGGGGUUUAUACCCCCACAGCUAGUCCCCGAGCACCAUGUAUUAUGAUGUAACACGCCGUCUUGAGCUUCUUCGAUCAGUGAGGCUUGACGUCUUCAAUAAGCAGGAAAGUCGCCCAAACAGUUGCAACGGUAUUUUGACCAACUCAAAAGAUAGUUGAUCAGCAUUGACAUCGAAGAAGCAGGUUGUUCGAAGAAUGCAUGGUGCUCUAAAUUAAAAAAGAUUUCUUUCCUGGUGAAGUGUGCCCACUUUACUUUUGUGAAAAGUAUAGACCUCAAAAAAGCAAGCAUAUUCACCGCAAGGUGAAGUGUGCCCACUUAGUCCCCGAGCCUGGUAGUAGGUGACGUAGGCACGUGGUGCCAGGGUCAAAAGAAAAGUCCUCAAAGAAAUUCUGAAACUGAAAUGCAUCGCCAGAUGCAUCAUACCGAUGUAGUCCCCGAGCUUGCUGGAAGGCGAAGUAUGAGCCUUGUAGCAAGGUCUAAAAAAUUGAAUUUACCAGUCCGUCUACAAUUGAAUAGACUAAUCGACCAGUCCCCGAGCAUAUAACACUCGGUGGUCGGUAUAGUCUCCGAAUUCUCAAAUUGGUGGGCUGGUCGACCAGUCCCCGAGCGUAUAGUGCUCGGUGGUCGGUACAGUCUCAAAACUCUCAAAUUGGUGAGCUGUUCGAACAGUCCUCGAGCGUAUAGUGCUCGGUGGUCGGCACAGUCCCCGAGCACGGCGUAGGGACCGGUGGACAAGUCCCCGAGCGUGGUUGGGAACGUAAACGUGCUCGGUGGUCGGCACAGUCUUCGAGCACAGCAUAGAGAGUAGUCGACAAGUCCCCGAGCGUGGUUGGGAACGUAAACAUGCUCGGUGGUCGGAGCAGUCCCUGGGCACAGCGUAGGGAAUAGUCGACGAGUCUCCAAGCGUAGCUUGUCGACUGGGCCAAACUCCUGAAAAAUAAAUAUAAAGAAUUGGUAGUACAUAAUGUAUAAAUAACCUUUAGAUAAAAAAUCAGUACUAAGAUAAGUUUUAGAUUUUUUGUUAUAACAUUAGCACGAGUAGUUAAUUCAUCCUAGAGCUUGUACCAGCUCUGGUCUAGCCCACAAUUAGCAUGAGGUGUGGAACCUAGGCACGCGUAGGAUUGUCAGCCACGUCAGAGAGCUAUUGCCGACCACCCGGAACGCAGAGGGCGGAUCUCGUGCACGUGUAGGGAGGAGUCGGAGACAGUACCGGCUCUGGAAAGCUCGUGUAGGAGAAAAACUAGUCGGCUAAAAAAGUUGUUUUGAAGAAUAAUAAUAUUAAAAAUAUUAUGCCAAAAAUAAAUAAAAUAUUAGAAUUGUACUUAUCUUUGGACGAAAGUCUGGUCGGGACAGUUGCUUGACUUGUUGUCAUGAUGGAGGUCGCGGCUAUCGUAGCGCCGUUCUUCGCGGCGAUUAUUAUUGCGACUCGUGGUCAGAGCAAGUAGGCCAAACAACUUGGACGAUAGCCUGAGCAGGUCGGUGUCGUCGAUCUGCCUCCCUUUGUAGCAGAGAAGCGGGUGACGCGUUGUCGGCGUGGUCGGAGACGUUGCUGGAGUAGUUGGAUUCGUAGCCAGCGUGGUUGAAGCUGCUGCCGAUGUCGAUGAAGAAGUGGUUGGCGCAGAUCGGAUCUGCACCUCCUCCGUGGUCGUGGCGGUGAAGCUGUUGAAGCUGACGGUGAACGUGAAGUCGCCCGCCACGGCCACGAAGUCGGGGAUGAUGACCAUCUCGUUCGUCGGGAGAGCUGUACGCACACCCCCUACCUGGCGCGCCACUGUCGACGAAAGCUAGUCGGCAGUCUACCUCGGGGUAUACCCACGGUAGUAGUUUAUCGGUAGACGGUGCGCAAACUACGAACUCGAUGGUGACGCAAGACACGGACAAGCUUUUUAUCCAGGUUCGGCCGCCGAGUUGGCAUAAUACCUACGUCCUGCGUCUGGUUGUAUUGAUUUGUGUUGAGAGAAUAAUGAUGUAUGAUUUGUCCUCUAGGGGACCCCUGCCCCUCCUUAUAUAUACUGAAGGGACAGAGUUACAAGCAAAGUAUCCUAUUUGGUACAAAAUCUUGUAGCCUUGUGGUGCACGCCGACCAGUCGUGCGCCGCACGUCUUCAUCUUGUGGGCCGAGCCACCUCUGAUGGUGCGGCCCAUAUAGGCCCAUGAGGGUAUAGGGGUUUAUACCCCCACACCGCCCACCUCUGGUGGCCAAUCAGGGUGAAUCAUGCAGAUUAUGCUCCAUCGCCUUUGAGGAUCAAGGAAAACCGUGCGAUUAAGGUCGGUUUGAUCCGACGGCCCACGUUCAUUUAGAGGGGCUAUAUAAGCAGGCCCCCUGGCCCCUGGAGGAGAGCAAUCCCCAUUAUUCAUUAGCAUAUUUUCCAAAGAGGAUUCAGAGAGAGAGGUUCCUUAGGGUUCAAUGUGAGAGUAGAAUUAUUUCUACUAGAUUGAGAGAGAUAGAGUGGAGGUGUAGAUCGGAGGAAGCCCGGUCUGCCAGUGUCUACUCCGAGGUUGUACCUGCGAGAUCAAGUCUCCUAACCCGAGGCUUGCUCCUAGGAUUCUUCAGUAUUUCGACUUCUAAAUUCUAGUAAGUUCUUUGUUUUAUUGUUCUUUGGUUUAUGAGUUUACUUUGAUCUCUUCGCGUAGAGUUUAGAGUAAUCAUCUCUAGAGUAAACCUGGUGUUCUGGCUAGGAUGCUCAUAGAUAUCCCCUAUCUAGCCAGACCGUGGUAGUAGCGAGGAACGUGACAUUUCCAAGUUACCUUUGUAGCCCAUAUCCCGUUAGCAGGAUCGAUAUGGUUUAUAGGUGCGGGUCGAACAUCCUCUGUGGUGUCUAGAUUCCGUUAGCCCCACCAACAGAACAGUAGAUCAUCCUUACCAUGGUUAGAACGAGAGUGCGGUUGUAGUCUUCUCUAUACAUCGCUCACAUCGAAUCACAUUGUUUGUAGCCUAAAGGGUAGUAGCAAUAGAUUUGGUUAGUCAGAUGCACGCUUUCUCCCAGUGGUAAAAAUAUAAAUACGAUACUCUGGAUAACCUUCCGGGUGAAGUGCUCACCGAUAUCCGUGCGCUUGCGGAUCAUUUCCUGAUGGCGUUAACAAAUAUCAACAAGCAUUUCUGGCGCCGUUGCCGGGGAGAAAGACGGUUUGCUGAGAUAACUUUGAGUCUUGCUAUUAUCUUGUAUUAUACUUUUAUACUUUUAUACUUUUAUUCUUUUAUCUUUUUAUUUUUUCCAUCUUUAUGGAUAACUCAAAUUCCACACCUAUUAUUGAAUUCUUUGCACCUUCGGAGACCAGCCAUAGACCAUGGGAGUCAACAAGUCCUUUCUUUGCCCCUAAUUAUGAUCUGUGUCCAGAGUCAAUUGCGAUAGGUCAAAACCAACCCUUUUCUAUAGCCGAGGUCCUAUCUUUUAAUCAAGAAGAUAAUGAACUUUUAGCUAGACUUAGGGAAUCUUCUAAUCUUUCUAUAAAUUCUGGUUUAGACCUAGCCCUACAAGACCAUGUUUUUCCUCGAUAUUUUCGCAUUGGUCUUAAUCAUAUAACGUUUGGUAGAGUUUUUCUUUCUUUAUCUAGUAAAGCAAGGUAUAUCUUCAUUCGUGGACAUCCUUCUUGCACUAGUCUUCAUAAAAAAAUCCUAGAGAUAGAGAAGGAAUCAUCUCCCAAACGAGGAAAGGAAGUUUCAAUAGCCGAUUUCCAAACAUUUCAAUCCCAUGAUUCGGCUAUCCAACCCAAACUAGUAGUGCUCCAAAAUCAUCUAAGGGAAGAAGAAAUUCUACCUUUAGAAAUUCAUUUUGGGAUGAGCUUAAACUUCCUGCUUCAUAAGAGACCUUUGAGUGCAUAUAGUCUGAACCUUCCUAAGAGGGAUCUCUUAGAAAGCAUCUCAAAUCCAAUCCCUCUAAUGGACAUCUAGAAAGACUCAAGGAUGGCGUCUUAAGUGAUGCAAUAGAAGGAGAGCAAAGCCAUUUAGAAGACAAUCUCAUCUUCUCCCCUUCUACGCCCACUUUUGAUGACUCAUUCGAACCUAUCUUUAAACCCAUCCUUGAGCCUAAUAAUUUCUACUAUGCUCUUUCUCUUGAACCUCCCGAUGAUCAUACGAACCUCUCUAGACAUCCCAUGCAUAAGAGUCACCAAGACCAUAAGGAGGAUCGAGAAGAGCAACAUCAAUGGCUAGAGGGCAUUAAAAAUCCAUGUGCUAUCACCAUUGAAUGGAUGGACAAGGAAGAAGCCUUAAUGGAUGAGAUUCAAAUGGUGAGUUCUUGACUCCCUUUGAAGAUGAGAUUCAUCCAACUACAAAAGAGGACAUAGGUGAGAUUUCCAACCCCGUUUUCCUUUCUAUUUAUAAAAACUUUAAAAGGGCGGUUGUCGAUGCAUAUGUCUAUAAUAAAUAUUGUAGAUCUCGUUGAGUUGAUCUUGAUAUAGGUCAGCGUUGGAGGGGAAACCACUUCGCCGACAUAAAUUGAUGGUUUCCCAAGGACAAGCUUAGUAUCCUAAAAUAAGCACUGAUCGGAUCGUAACAUGAGCUUUUAAUUAUUUGCAACAUUACCUUGUGUAUUGAGUAUAUAAGGAUAAUUGUAAAAAUAUUCCUUCGGGUAUUCUUGUCACUAACCUUUCCAGGAUUGGAGCAAGAAGAUCGGAUGAAUGACAAGCACAAGGUAUGUCCAACCAAUCAUCACACAACAUUGAAUUAAAUUCAUCCAAACUUGAAUUUUGCAAAAUUCAAGCUUGGGUGAGUACUUUACAUAAAAACAUUCUUUGCCAUGUUGCUAUGUUGGUUGUCCCUACCUUUGAGACAUGCUUAAUUUGUUAAAUACUAAUCACACUACUUCAUCUCCACUUGAGUAGAUCUCUAUAAAUGCUCUCAUGCUACCUUUAUUUGCUUUAGUAUAUGUCUUGGUUUGGAGUAGUUUCAUUUAUCUCUUAAAUAAGCAUGGUGCUUAGUUUAGGAAUGAUGAUCAUACUUCCAAGGGAUUUUAAAUUAAGCAUGGUGCUUAGGUUAAAAUGCCCUCCUAAAUCAAAUUAGACAUGGUGUCUAGGUUGAUUUUUGAGCCGAUAGUAGGCUAUAGUAGAUAUUGGAUAUUUUGUUGGACUAACCCCUGUAGGAAACUUUCAAUAUCGACCUAGGAAGUCCUGAGAUAAACUCACACUAGAGAUAAAGAGAGAGACACAUGAAGUUUAACAAUUUACACAAGGAAGACAUAGCUCAUAAGAGAUGAUCCAUAGAGGGUGCCACAAACACGAAACACAAUCGCUGAGAAAGGAAAGAUUCCACAAGGAGAUACUGUACCAUCACUCUUCAAGUAAGGUAACAUCUUAAGGUACUUAACUAUCACUUUUAUAAGCUUCUCCUUGGUUCUGGCGUUCAGAAGAAUAAAGAGACAAACAUAAAUUAACCAACCCAAUUAAUUCAACAUGUUUAGACCUUUAAUCUUUGUUCUUAGUACUACCUUCAUGAUCCCACACUCCUAAUCAUAUAAGCUAAAAUGUUGCACACUCAAUCUUUGGAAGAUAUAUAUAAAAAAACAAACAAAAAACAUGAAUAUAGAUAGAUUAUCUUUCCAUUAGGUUGAGCGAUCUGAUCCGACAAAUGUUUUAAAUGCUACACUCAUGAUCUUAUUAUCCAUCAACUUUGUCUGGCUCACUAUGCUUAAGGUUAGAGAAGAACAAAUACACUUUUGGUUUUGUUGGUGUUUUCCACCAACAGGGCCCAUGCACUUGAUCUCUGCCUUGUCUCUAUGAGCAGGUACACUUCAAGCAAAACAUGGAGGAGUUUUACAACUCCCAGACUCCACCAAGUGAAGGACCUAGAUCUACGAGCACAAACACACUGAGCAGGAUAUUGCCAAUGCCGCACUUCGAACUGCUGGGCAAACGAAGAACAUAGUUGACACUGUAUCAAGAGGUGCAGACGUCAAGGUCCACACUUGGAUCAAAUGACGCACCUAAAGAAUGAACACGGUGAGAAGUCUUGUUCAGAAGACAUAAAACAUUGAACCCUCGCCGAAAGGUAAAAUCAGUAGUAAUCCAUAUUUAUCCUUUCUGCAUUUUUCCUUAAAUUAUUUACUUUCCUUAAAAAGCUUGUUUGUUAAUCAUCCUACCAUGAAAAGAAAUUAAAAAUGUUAAAAACAGUAAGCCUCAUGUGAGUAUGCUCGAGGCAUAAAACCCAUAAGUACAUUCACUGUGGUGGCGUAAAAAUAAAAUAUUCCAGUCUUAUAAAAAUGAAAAUAUAAAAUUAAAUUUAUGAUCCUACCAAAGAGAGUAACAUUUAUUGAGGAGGCUCAAUAUGAUAAAGGCUAGAUAUUUAUGCUAACAAUUAACCAGUUCCACAAAGCUUUGUUGUCUAUUUGAGCUCCACAGAAUUCAAGGAUCAAAGAAGACUAGCAAACGGAGGACAUGACAUCCUAAUCACUGUCAGGGUGCUACCGACAUUCAAAUACACCUCCACCACCUGCUAGCUACAUUAGAAGAAAUUAUGUCAAAAUCCAGCUUGGGGGAGAGCACCCCCAUUUAUCGAGCUAAGUGUUUCUACUCGCGUUUAUACUUUACUCAAAUAAUAAAAAAGAUGCAUAAUCAUAAAAACCGAAAUAAAGAUUUUGUGCUUUUAUAUAUAUCUUUGCUUAGUUUGCUAAAUAAAUAAAUAAAUAAAGUUUGCUAUGAACCCUCAUGAUAAACUCUUACAUGGAUAUGAUAAAUAGUUGCUCUGUCAUGUACCUAGUUUUCAAGUUUGAGCUCUCUCUUAAGUUUACGCAUAACUGUUAUAAUUUAAAUUUGCUCUAAACCUGAACUUGUGGGAAGAGUACCUGAUCAAAAGUCUAAGUCGUUAACGGAUAUGAUAUGGGAAGGUUGAGCUGCUGUUUAUCUAUUCCUAGAGAUACUAGAAUUCUGAUGAAUUUUAUCUUUGAAAAUCUUUAAAAUAUUGCAUGAUGAGUUCCUGUAUGAUGAGAGCUUAAAAUCCUACCACAGCCAUAUAUACAUGCUUAUUAGACUAUGAACCAUACAUUUACUUUUCACUGCUUAUGAGCAUUGAGUGUGGUCAAGCUGUGUAGAACCUUAGGAGCUUGUCAUACGGUUAAAAUCAAGAUUCACUUGCACGUUCACUCAUACAUGCUACUUCUACUUCGGAAGUACGCAUCCACAUACAUUCACUCAAUUCCAUCUUCAGAUUCACCUAAAAUUAUUUUACUCCUAUCCGGGAGAGAAUAGCCAAAAACUUUUUCCUAUCCCUGUUAUUCCCUGUGAAAUAAAUGCUCCAGUUAUUUUGGUUACUACCAGUUGCUACAUUAUUCUAGGAGGGUGAGUGCUCUAAAAAAAGAAGAAAAAAGAAAAAAAGAAGAAAAAUAUGAGGAAAUAAAAAGGGGAAAGUGCCUGGAACCUCGAAGAAAAGAAAAAGUGAGACGAGAGGUAAAAAAUGGACAAGUGUCCGAGAGUAGAAUUAGGGGUACAAGAUACCCACCUCAGAGAAAAGAAAAAGAAAAUAUAGAGCAUCUCAUUCUCCUCAAAAAAGCUUCAAACUGCAAGAAAGGUAUAUAUCCCCUAAAAAGAGCAAAACUAGAAUUAGACUUUCACAAUUGUUAUCACCAUCAUCACCAUACACCAUUCAUUCGCCACACAUGCACAUCUUGAUUUGACUUAUUGACUUGUUUCUCUAGAUCCAUGGUUUGACUAUGCAAUAAAUGUCUUGUAAGUAUGUAUGCUUUAUCUCCCACCUAUGAGCUCCAGAUAUCAAAACCCUAUUAGAGUAGGGAGAGAGAGAAGGCAAUAUCACUAUGCCUCAUACCAAAAAUACCACAUACUUUGAGAGAAGGCAUAUACCAUUACUGCCUUGGAAAGGAUCCAGAAAUACCACAAAAGAGAGAUUUGAGAAAGUCAUACAAGGAAUCUCUGAGUUUUAUUUGAAAAUCUACAAAAACUCCAGAGCUAUAGCUGAUCAAAGAACAAGAGACAUGGCGCUUGACUAGACUGUUCUAUCUUUUAACUGCUCAAGACACAAGUGACGGUUGCAAGCCCCAUGGUGAAAGGUAAAAUGAGUAAGUUUUAAGUCUUAACAGUUUACUCUAACUCAGAGAUGAGAUCUUGCUUGAAUGCAUGUGUACUUUUAAGGCAUGAAACCACUGCAGAAACUCUUGAGUCCAUCCUUGCUCAGGGACGAGCAAGAGGUAAGCUUGGGGGAGUUGUUGACGGUCCUUAAGUACCAAAUAUAAUCAUCAAAUAAAUAAAGAAAAGCAUCCAAAUGCAACCAACACCCAGACUUAGGGUUUUAUCUGACAGAAUUCCACAAGUUUUGGUGUUUGUCUAUUUCUGCAGGGGGUUAUCAGGAAAUAAUGAAAAAAUGCCCACACGUCGGGUUUACAUAGAGCUAUUAACAUGUCGUGCAAUUUUCUAUCAUCUAGAAGACUCCAGAAGCCACGAGAACGAACGGGAGACCGAUCGAGCCCGGGGGCAGGGCGCCCGCCCACCUCUAGUGGCCAAUCAGGGUGAAUCACGCGGAUUAUGCUCCACGGCCUUUAAGGAACAAGGAAAACCAUGCGAUUAAGGUUGGUUUGAUCCAACGGCCCACGUUCAUUUGGAGGGCCUAUAUAAGCUGGCCCCCUGGCCCCUGGAGGAGAGCAAUCCCCAUUAUUCAUUAGCAUAUUUUCUAGAGAGGAUUCAGAGAUAGAUGUUCCUUAGGGUUCCCACCUCAUAGGGCUUAGCAUCCAAUGUGAGAGUAGAAUUAUUUCUACUAGAUUGAGAGAGAUAGAGUGGAGGUGUAGAUCGGAGGAAGCUCGGUCUGUCGGUGUCUACUCCGAGGUUGUACCUGCGGGAUCAAGUCUCCUAACCCGAGGCUUGCUCCUAGGAUUCUUCAGUAUUUCGACUUUUAACUUCUAGUAAGUUCUUUGUUUUAUUGUUCUUUGGUUUAUGAGUUUACUUUGAUCUCUUCGCGUAGAGUUUAGAGUAAUCAUCUCUAGCAUAAACUUGGUUUUUAGGCUAGGAUACUCAUAGAUAUCCCGUGUCUAGCCGGACCGUGGUAGUAGCGAGGAACGUUACAUUUCCAAGUUACCUUUGUAGCCCAUAUUCCAUUAGCAGGAUCGAUAGGGUUUAUAGGUGCGGGUCGAACAUCCUCUGUGGUGUCUAGAUUCCAUUAGCCUCCCCAACAGAACAGUAGAUCAUCCAUACCAAGGUUAGAAUGAGAGUGCGGUUGUAGUCUUCUCUAUACAUCGCUCACAUCGAAUCACAUUGUUUGUAGCCUAAAGGGUAGUAGCAAUAGAUUUGGUUGGUCAGGUGCACGCUUUCUCCCAGUGGUAAAAAUAUAAAUACGAUACUCUGCAUAACCUCGUGGGUGAAGUGCUCACCGAUAUCCUGCGCUUGCGGAUCAUUUCCUCAUGGCAUUAACAAAUAUCAACAAGCAUUUCUGGCGCCGUUGCCGGGGAGAAAGACGGUUUGCUGAGAUAACUUUGAGUCUUGCUAUUAUCUUGUAUUAUACUUUUAUACUUUUAUUCUUUUAUCUUUUUAUUUUUUUCCAUCUUUAUGGAUAACUCAAAUUCCACACCUAUUAUUGAAUUCUUUGCACCUUCGGAGACCAGCCAUAGACCAUGGGAGUCAACAAGUCCUUUCUUUGCCCCUAAUUAUGAUCUGUGUCCAGAGUCAAUUGCGAUAGGUCAAAACCAACCCUUUUCUAUAGCCGAGGUCCUAUCUUUUAAUCAAGAAGAUAAUGAACUUUUAGCUAGACCUAGGGAAUCUUUUAAUCUUUCUAUAAAUUCUGGUUUAGACCUAGCCCUACAAGACCAUGUUUUUCCUCGAUAUUUUCACAUUAGUCUUAAUCAUAUAACCUUUGGUAGAGUUUUUCUUUCUUUAUCUAGUAAAGCAAGGUAUAUCUUCAUUCGUGGAUAUCCUUCUUGCACUAGUCUUCAUAAAAAAAUCCUAGAGAUAGAGAAGGAAUCAUCUCCCAAACGAGGAAAGGAAGUUUCAAUAGCCGAUUUCCAAACAUUUCAAUCCCAUGAUUCAGCUAUCCAACCCAAACUAGUUGUGCUCCAAAAUCAUCUAAGGGAAGAAGAAAUUCUACCUUUGGAAAUUCAUUUUGGGAUGAGCUUAAACUUCCUGCUUCAUAAGAGACCUUUGAGUGCAUAUAGUCUGAACCUUCCUAAGAGGGAUCUCUUAGAAAGCAUCUCAAAUCCAAUCCCUCUGAUGGAAAUCUAGAAAGACUCAAGGAUGGCGUCUUAAGUGAUGCAAUAGAAGGAAAGCAAACCCAUUUAGAAGACAAUCUCAUCUUCUCCCCUUCUACGCCCACUUUUGAUGACUUAUUUGAACCUAUCUUUAAACCCAUCCUUGAGCCUAAUAAUUUCUACUAUGCUCUUUCUCUUGAACCUCCCGAUGAUCAUAUGAACCUCUCUAGACAUCCCAUGCAUAAGAGUCACCAAGACCAUAAGGAGGAUCGAGAAGAGCAACAUCAAUGGCUAGAGGGCAUUAAAAAUCCAUGUGCUAUCACCAUUGAAUGGAUGGACAAGGAAGAAGCCUUAAUGGAUUCUGACUUUGGCUCAAUUUCAAAUGGUGAGUUCUUGACUCCCUUUGAAGAUGAGAUUCAUCCAACUACAAAAGAGGACAUAGGUGAGAUCUCCAACCCCGUUUUCCUUUCUAUUUAUAAAAACUUUAAAAGGGUGGUUGUCGAUGCAUAUGUCUAUAAUAAAUAUUGUAGAUCUAGUUCAGUUGAUCUUGAUAUAGGUCAGCGUUGGAGGGGAAACCACUUCGCCGACAUAAAUUGAUGGUUUCCCAAGGACAAGCUUAGUAUCCUAAAAUAAGCACUGAUCAGAUCAUAACAUGAGCUUUUAAUUAUUUGCAACAUUACCUUGUGUAUUGAGUAUAUAAGGAUAAUUGUAAAAAUAUUCCUUCGGGUAUUCUUGUCACUAACCUUUCCAGGAUUGGAGCAAGAAGAUCGGAUGAAUGACAAGCACAAGGUCUGUCCAACCAAUCAUCACACAACAUUGAAUUAAAUUCAUCCAAACUUGAAUUUUGCAAAAUUCAAGCUUGGGGGAGUACUUUUCAUAAAAACAUUCUUUGCCAUGUUGCUAUGUUGGUUGUCCCUAUCUUUGAGACAUGCUUAAUUUGUUAAAUACUAAUCACACUACUUCAUCUCCACUUGAGUAGAUCUCUAUAAAUGCUCUCAUGCUACCUUUAUUUGCUUUAGUAUAUGUCUAGGUUGGGAGUAGUUUCAUUUAUCUCUUAAAUAAGCAUGGUGCUUAGUUUAGGAAUGAUGAUGAUACUUCCAAGGGAUUUUAAAUUAAGCAUGGUGCUUAGGUUAAAAUGCCCUCCUAAAUCAAAUUAGACAUGGUGUCUAGGUUGAUUUUUGAGCCGAUAGUAGGCUAUAGUAGAUAUUGGAUAUUUUGUUGGACUAACCCCUAUAGGAAACUUCCAAUAUCGACCUGGGAAGUCCUGAGAUAAACUGUCACACCCAUAUUUUAAGAACAAAAUAGGAUGCAUAAAAGACUCAUAUGUGCCCCAGGAAUAGUCACACACAUAAGUAGACAAAUCUCAAAUGUACCAUUGCAGUGUUUAUUACAUAGCGGAACAUAAUAACUCACAUAGUCUUACACAAAAAUACUAUCAAAAGGUAAACAACGCUCUCGACGGAAGCUCCACACAGGGACACUGUUGACUGGUUGACUCCAAACCUAGUACUCAUAACGGUAGUCCUCAUUCCAAUCAUCAUCAUUAGCAUAACCUGAGGUGUUGGAAAAUUGCAAGAGUGAGCACAUAUCGUACUCAACAAGUAUAACCAGGGGUUCAUGAGGCUCAAAAAGCUGACACUGGUUUGACUGCAUUUAGCUUUUAAUAGUUGAUAGCAUGUUUAAUCAUUGGAUAGCAAAUGUCAAGGUAGCAUAACAAAUCCCAUAACCACAUGAUCAAUGUAUACAAGAAUUAAGAAUAACACAUAUAAACAACAUAAUAAACCAUCGUUUAUUAUCAUUAUUCACGUUCAUGAGUGUCCAUCUAUUCCGUCAGUUUUUCAGGCCGCCCGUAUCCGUGGGCACGGCUAGUAUACCAGAUUUAACACUCUGCAGAGGUUGUACAUCUUUACCCAUGAGUCGUGAUUUACCCUUUCGCCCGAGGUGAUCAGCCUCUUAACCCACUACCAAGGAAGGUCGGUAGGGUUCACUAUGAAGUCUUUCAAAGGUUCGUCUAACAUGUUAGGGCUGCAAGGUUUCCUUUGCGCGUAGAUAUAGAUACCCCCCUUCCGAAUGGCACAAUGACGCGCAGCCUAUACACAUAGGGACAGGGCUCGCACUAUACCCAAAACGAUUCAGCCCCUCCGCCCUUUCGGGUAACCUCUAACAAGCUAGAAAAGCUUACUCAUACUUGACUAAAGCCAGAGCCAUAUAGCCCUCAUGGUUGUACGAGUUGUCCCAGCUUUUGCCAAGGGAUAAGUCCUUAUGGAGGGUCAAGAUCAAUCCAGCAAAAGCCAGAGUUCUUUCCACCCUUUAUAUUCAAGUUGCUAGAAAGCUUAUUUUAUUGUUUAUUGUAUAUUCAAAUAUUCAUGUUACAAGAUCAUGGAUUAAUAAUCAAGCACUAGCAAGAACUACCAAAUGCAUAUCCAAAAUAGGUAACAAGGAAUCCAGGAUAACAAUCAUCUAUGAUUUUGCUAAUGUCAUCAAGGUGAUAGCAUGCAUAUGAUAAAUGUUAUAUUAAUUGUGUAUAGGUAACAAGGAUAAUACCAAGUUAUACUUGCCUUGAUCAAAGCUCUCCUGAGCCUGCUGGUCUUCAAAUACUUGAUCUUGAGCACCAACGUACGGCUCACCGUUUAAUCCCAAUCAUCAAUCAACAACACGCAAUCCAAUGUAGACAAUCAUACACGAAGCAAACAAGAUAUAAUUAGAACAAUACACCAAACAGUAGUAAAACAAAUAUAAAAGUUUAUCAAAAUAUUCUACGCAGCUCCACGGUCACAUAAACGUAAAGUUCACGAAAAUCGGAAUUAAAAUGGAGAAGUUAUGCAUUUUCCAAGAUUUCCUAUAGAGAAAUAAUUAAUUAAAUGCUACUGCAGAAUUAAAAAGUUUCAAAACAGUAAACUAAUACUUCUAACACGUAGAGCUCACUGAAACGAAUCUAACGCAACUUGGAUGGACAAAAACGGAGUUAAAAUGAGCAUUUUAUGGCCUAAACAAACUCAAUGGCAUUUUUGUGAAUUCUGGAAAACGUAAACUGAUCCAACCAGUGAGAAUACGUUUUCAAAACAGCAAUACGCGUUUAAGAAAGGCGCCAGGGGGACUGCAGGUUUGAUUAAGAAGAAACCGAGGGUCUCUUUAAGAAAACGCGCAGCGAAGGGGUACGUUUUAAUUUCAGCCAUCCGAUCUACAUCUGACGGCUCUCGGAGGGCUUGGGGAGAAACCGGCCGGCCGGCGGCGAGCCCUCCACGGCAGACGCCAUGGCCGGCGCCUGAGCUUCGCCGGAGCUCCCAGAUCUCGCGAAAUCCUACGCCAAAAACAAAACCGAGGGCAUCGGGGGGUGGAGGAGCAUGAGGCGAGCUUACCUACGGGGUUUUCUCGGGCCGAGGACAACCAGGGCGCUCUUGUCGCGGUGAGGGAAGACGCUCGGCUCGGCGAGAUCUCAAAGGCGUAGAUGGAGGCGGCUAGGGCUUCCUAGAAUACGACAGAAAGCAAACAGAUGCCUCGGGGAGUUCCUAGGGCCUUUAUAGGGCUUGGCACACGGGAUAGGAAGGUGAGCACGGGAUUUUCGGGAUCGGCUCGGCACUGGGGAAGAAUGAAUCCUGGUCGGAUACGCGGGGAAGAAAGGGGAGGGCUUGUUGUCAUGUGGGGCCCGGUCGUCGGUGGGGGAGAGGAAGCUGACACGCUGGCCCAGGGUGUCAGCGCCAAGGAGCUAGGGAGGCGCGCGCGCUGGGCUGGUCUGCUGGGCCGGUCCCCGCUCUGGGCCGCACGCGGGGAGGGAAGGAAGGGGGAACCAAGGGAGAGUUGGGCUGCGGGGGAAAAAAAUGGAAACGGGGCCGAGAGCAGGUGAGCUCCUUCCCCCUUUUUUUAUUUCUCUUUUUUUUCCUAAAGCAUUUUCCAAAUGGAAUUUGAAUCAAAUAAAUUCAAACAAAAAGGGCAACAACACAGAAUCAAAUAUGCUCCAUCAUGAAAUGCAAAAUUCAAGUUUCUAAACUUAUGAUAAAUUUUAUUUUCCACCAAAAAUUACAUAUUCACUAAAUUAAAUGCUCACAAUAAUACUUAAAUAAAUCAAAUUAAAUCCUAUUAUUUGAAAAUCAAAUUUUGGGUGUUACAUAAACUCACACUAGAGAUAAAGAGAGAGACACAUGAAGUUUAACAAUUUACACAAGGAAGACAUAGCUCAUAGAGAUGAUCCAUAGAGGGUGCCACAAACACGAAACACAAUCGCUAAAAAAGGAAAGCUUCCACAAGGUGAUACAGUACCAUCACUCUUCAAGUAAGGUAACAUCUUAAGGUACUUAACUAUCACUUUUAUAAGCUUCUCCUUGGUUCUGGCGUUCAGAAGAAUAAAGAGACAAACAUAAAUUAACCAACCCAAUUAAUUCAACAUGUUUAGACCUUUAAUCUUUGUUCUUAGUACUACCUUCCUGAUCCCACACUCCUAAUCAUAUAAGCUAAAAUAUUGCACACUCAAUCUUUGGAAGAUAUAUAUAAAAAAACAAACAAAAAACAUGAAUAUAGAUAGAUUAUCUUUCCAUUAGGUUGAGCGAUCUGAUCCGACAAAUGUUUUAAAUGCUACACUCAUGAUCUUAUUAUCCAUCAACUUUGUCUAGCUCACUAUGCUUAAGGUUAGAGAAGAACAAAUACACUUUUGGUUCUGUUGGUGUUUUCCACCAACAGGGCCCAUGCACUUGAUCUCUGCCUUAUCUCUAUGAGCAGGUACACUUCAAGCAAAACAUGGAGGAGUUUUACAACUCGCAGACUCCACCAAGUGAAGGACCUGGAUCUACGAGCACAAACACACUGAGCAGGAUAUUGCCAAUGCCGCACUUCGAACUGCUGGGCAAACGAAGAAUAUACGUGACACUGUAUCAAGAGGUGUAGACGUCAAGGUCCACACUUGGAUCAAAUGACGCACCUAAAGAAUAAACACGGUGAGAAGUCUUGUUCAGAAGACUUAAAACAUUGAACCCUCGCCGAAAGGUAAAAUCGGUAGUUAUCCAUAUUUAUCCUUUCUGCAUUUUUCCUUAAAUUAUUUACUUUCCUUAAUUAGCUUGUUUGUUAAUCAUCCUACCAUGAAAAGAAAUUAAAAAUGUUAAAAACAGUAAGCCCCAUGUGAGUAUGCUCGAGCCAUAAAACCCAUAAGUACAUUCACUGUGGUGGCGUAAAAAUAAAAUAUUCCAGUCCUAUAAAAAUGAAAAUAUAAAAUUAAAUUUAUGAUCCUACCAAAGAGAGUAACAUUUAUUGAGGAGGCUCAAUAUGAUAAAGGCUAGAUAUUUAUGCUAACAAUUAACCAGUUCCACAAAGCUUUGUUGUCUAUUUGAGCUCCACAGAAUUCAAGGAUCAAAGAAGACUAGCAGACGGAGGACAUCCUAAUCACUGUCAGGGUGCUAGCGACAUUCAAAUACACCUCCACCACCUGCUAGCUACAUUAGAAGAAAUUACGUCAAAAUCCAGCUCGUGGGAGAGCACCCCCAUUUAUCCAGCUAAGUGUUUCUACUCGCGUUUAUACUUUACUCAAAUAAUAAAAAAGAUGCAUAAUCAUAAAAACCCAAAUAAAGAUUUUGUGCUUUUAUAUAUAUCUUUGCUUAGUUUGCUAAAUAAAUAAAUAAAUAAAGUUUGCUAUGAACCCUCAUGAUAAACUCUUACAUGGAUAUGAUAAAUAGUUGCUCUGUCAUGUACCUAGUUUUCAAGUUUGAGCUCUCUCUUAAGUUUAGGCAUAACUGUUAUAAUUUAAAUUUGGUCUAAACCUGAACUUGUGGGAAGAGUACGUGAUCAAAAGUCUAAGUCGUUAACGGAUAUGAUAUGGGAAGGUUGAGCUGCUGUUUAUCUAUUCCUAGAGAUACUAGAAUUCUGGAGAAUUUUAUCUUUGAAAAUCUUUAAAAUAUUGCAUGAUAAGUUCUUGUAUGAUGAGAGCUUAAAAUCCUACCACAGCCAUAUAUACAUGCUUAUUAGACUAUGAACCAUACAUUUACUUUUCACUGCUUAUGAGCAUUGAGUGUGGUCAAGCUGUGUAGAACCUUAGGAGCUUGUCAUACGGUUAAAAUCAAGAUUCACUUGCAUGUUCAUUCAUACAUGCUACUUCUACUUCGGAAGUACGCAUCCACAUACAUUCACUCAAUUCCAUCUUCAGAUUCACCUAAAAUUAUUCUACUCCUAUCCGGGAGAGAAUAGCCAAAAACUUUUUCCUAUCCCUGUUAUUCCCUGUGAAAUAAAUGCUCCAGUUAUUUUGGUUACUACCAGUUGCUACAUUAUUCUAGGAGGGUGAGUGCUCUAAAAAAAGAAGAAAAAAGAAAAAAAGAAGAAAAAUAUGAGGAAAUAAAAAGGGGAAAGUGCCUGGAACCUCGAAGAAAAGAAAAAGUGAGACGAGAGGUAAAAAAUGGACAAGUGUCCGAUAGUAGAAUUAGGGGUACAAGAUACCCACCUCAGAGAAAAGAAAAAGAAAAUAUAGAGCAUCUCAUUCUCCUCAAAAAAGCUUCAAACUGCAAGAAAGGUAUAUAUCCCGUAAAAAGAGCAAAAGUAGAAUUAGACUUUCACCAUUGUUAUCACCAUCAUCACCAUACACCAUUCAUUCGCCACACAUGCACAUCUUGAUUUGACUUAUUGACUUGUUUCUCUAGAUCCAUGGUUUGACUAUGCAAUAAAUGUCUUGUAAGUAUGUAUGCUUUAUCUCCCACCUAUGAGCUCCAGAUAUCAAAACCUUAUUAGAGUAGGGAGAGAGAGAAGGCAAUAUCACUAUGCCUCAUACCAAAAAUACCACAUACUUUGAGAGAAGGCAUAUACCAUUACUGCCUUGGAAAGGAUCCAGAAAUACCACAAAAGAGAGAUUUGAGAAAGUCAUACAAGGAAUCUCUGAGUUUUAUUUGAAAAUCUACAAAAACUCCAGAGCUAUAGCUGAUCAAAGAACAAGAGACAUGGCGCUUGACUAGACUGUUCUAUCUUUUAACUGCUCAAGACACAAGUGACGGUUGCAAGCCUCAUGGUGAAAGGUAAAAUGAGUAAGUUUUAAGUCUUAACAGUUUACUCUAACUCAGAGAUGAGAUCUUGCUUGAAUGCAUGUGUACUUUUAAGGCAUGAAACCACUGCAGAAACUCAUGAGUCCAUCCUUGCUCAGGGACGAGCAAGAGGUAAGCUUGGGGGAGUUGUUGACGGUCCUUAAGUACCAAAUAUAAUCAUCAAAAAAAUAAAGAAAAGGAUCCAAAUGCAACCAACACCUAGACUUAGGGUUUUAUCUGACAGAAUUCCACAAGUUUUGGUGUUUGUCUAUUUCUGCAGGGGGUUAUCAGGAAAUAUGGAAAAAAUGCCCACAAGUCGGGUUUACAUAGAGCUAUUAACGUGCCGUGCAAUUUUCUAUCAUCUAGAAGACUCCAGAAGCCACGGGAACGAACGGGAGGCUGAUCGGGCCCGGGGGCAGGGCGCCCGCCCACAUCUAGUGGCCAAUCAGGGUGAAUCACGCGGAUUAUCCUCCACGGCCUUUAAGGAUCAAGGAAAACCGUGCGAUUAAGGUCGGUUUGAUCCAACGGCCCACGUUCAUUUGGAGGGGCUAUAGAAGCUGGCCCCCUGGCCCCUGGAGGAGAGCAAUCCCCAUUGUUCAUUAGCAUAUUUUCUAAAGAGGAUUCAGAGAGAGAUGUUCCUUAGGGUUCCCACCUCAUAGGGCUUAGCAUCCAAUGUGAGAGUAGAAUUAUUUCUACUAGAUUGAGAGAGAUAGAGUGGAGGUGU
rnacentral:lncRNA from 1 species